GAGUUUGGUAGCCAAAAACCAGUCCAUGAGAUUUGCAUUAUAAACACAUAACUCAGUAAUAUGUGAGAUACGGAGACAGCAUCAAAAUAAACCAAAAACUGUGUCCACAAGAUGCUUAUUAGAAAAAACUAAAUUCCAGAACAGGAUAGUCUAGGUCCAGGUCGCAUUACAUCGAAGAGUUUCGAACAGAAUUUCACGGAUUAAUAAUGACACAAUCUCAGCAGCCUCAGCAACCUGUUAGAACAUUGAACAAACACCAUUAGAUACGUUGAAGUGAAAAAGAUAAAUAAAGAAAAAGAGAAGAAAAAUGUCACCACAAUAAAUAGUAGAAGAACUAUAAACUGGUUUUCCUAUUGAUUUUUUUGUUCCGAAAAAAAAAAAAAGAUAUGCAAACAACAAUAACCGACUAAGAAGACCACAAAAUUUCGACACGACUAAGAAGACCACAACUUUUUAGGACAAUCCACUGUCCCAAACGGAUCCCAUACCAGUACCGGUGUCAAGUUAUGUCGACACGGGUACAUUGGGGUAAAACAAAGAGCUAAUCUGUUAGUGUCACCAGUUUGACAAGCAUGGUGCAGCUUAUACCCCUGAUGGCAACAAUGGCUUUCACCCUGACAAAAUUAUACAUAACUUGAUGACUAUGUCUUGGAAAAUCUUGUGCAUUGCUCAGGCUUCCAAGAAAGAUAGAUGGUGAGAGUGAUAGCUGGAAAUUUCAAUCACUUAAUAAAGCUCACUUCUCUCUUCCUUUCUACCUGGAUCGUAAGAAUCAACUUUCCAUUCCAUGGAACUGGUCAUGAAAAAGUUAAUGUGUGUUAGGAACCAAAUAUACCCCUCAUUUCAACACACCUUAUUUAUAUCUACAGCCAAGCCCCACAAAAACUUUGGGUUUUAAGAGGACGGAAAGCAAAUUCCAUCAAAAAAACGGUUUCAAGAUUAUAAUCGUGUUUGAAUUUACUGAUGACAAGAAUGAUGAAUCCAGCUACAGCUUUGCCGAGUAAUGUCAUCAGAAAAACCACUUCUAACAGGCUUGAGUAUCAUUCUUCAAUGCAAGUGUAGAUACCAAACCAGUAACAUGCCAACUUGCACUCACAGCAGUUUUGUUACCAGCAAUUAGCCAGUAGGGUUUUCAGACUUCAAUAACAGUAUGAGAGCUGCGAAAACACUAUGCAAUGAAAGUUGCUAACAAGCAACUGUUAAGAAUUGAACUUUGUUCCAACCUCGAAAGGAAAAGAUAUCAGAAACUAUAAUACUCAACAACUGUUAUUUGCCUAUAUCUCUCUCUGCCCCUAACUCAAACAUACUUUCCAUUCAACUGAAGUUCAAACUCAAUAAAAGCCCAGAUUCCCAGGAAUACAGCUUAUUUUUAAAUGUGAGUAUUAUCCUCAGCUAUCUUUUCUCUGGAAAAGCUGUUUAAUCAGAUUCUUUCCUAGCUGGGGAUACAAUGUAUCUCUACAUGCCCCUUGGAAGAGAGCUUUUGGCUACAAACCUCAAUAGGCCACAAUUGUUUUCCAGCUUAGCUCCACUACAUGGAUAAUUUCCUAUUUCUUUUUUUUUCAAGUCCUUUUGCCCAGUAUCAAGUGAAAAAUGAGGCUCAUACAAGAAAUGAAAGCUGUAACUGGCCAAAUCCCAUGGUUUUUUCUUCAUGCGAGCAGUUGCACUUAUAGCCAGUUUGUCACACGCCAAAUAGUCUACUCACUUAAUAUAACUAAAAAGCAGUCACGAAACACAACUGCUCUUAAUAAAAAAGAAGACAUCCAUUUAGCUUGAUGAUUUCAUAAGGUUCAGAUUGAUGCUUUGACAGAAUUUGGUAAACAUUCAGGUACAAAUGAAAAAACCUAGACAGAAACCUGAUGUACUGCAGGUGAACAUUUAUUAUCUAGUACAAAGGCAUUACAUUUGCAAUCUUUUCCAUUACAACAGAAUGAUUAGCUUCAAUACUUCUGAGGUACAAAAUUAUCAAAAUUUGUUCAGUUGACAACAGAAAACUAGUCAGGCCAUUAUAGUUAGCACAUCUAGAAACAACUUUGGGGUUAGAACAUUCAAAGGUAGCAAAAAGCUAAACACAGAUCCACACAAAGCAAAGGAACUAAAAAGUUCUCUCACUGAGUAUGUCUGAGCUGCAACAGAGCAUAUACAUCCUAAAACAAGUUCAUAUACAUUGUCUCCAAAGUGGCACUAUUCUUUGCCUACCAACUGAAGCAAAUCUCCAACCAACAAAAGUAAGGUACAAAAGAAGGAUAUAAGCUUUAUCACAAAGAAGCACAUAAAUGAGCAAUGCAACACUCUUAACAGAUACAGAAAUUCACUAAGAAACUCAUAAACUUGAAUUAAACCACAUUCGAUUAGAGAAAACGUAAAUGACCACUUACAAAACUAAAACAAGAAAAAUCCUUGAUUAAUACUCCCUCCGUUCCAUUUCAUUGACACAGUCAUAUUUUCCUUUUAAGUUCUCCCAAAAUAUUUAUAACUUACAUAAAUUGGCAAACACAUUUGCAUUCAAUUCCUCCAUUUACCGUUCAAACACUCCCUAAAAGUCCAAUGCAUGUGUCUUUUCAUGAGCCCACAGAUUAUUACCAACGAAACUAAGACAACUUCUUUUGUAGUACGCGCUAGCUGGCAUUAAGAAACUAAAGCAAUUAAGUGUUCCGAUGCACGCGCUAGUUGGCAAUCACAUCUGCGAUUGGACAAACAUCUUGGCUCCACAAUUCUUUAUGUCUUAGUACAACACUUAAAGCUCUUCAUGGGGGUGAAACGAGAAACUACAGCAUCAAUUUUCAAAUUCUAUCCACUCUUCAUAAAAAUUACAGUUCCCGAAGUGCGAUAAAUUUUAUGGGAUGAAGACCAAAACUGUCAUUAAAUUGCCUAUCAUACGAGUCAUUAGCUCAUAAAUUGCAAGCACUUCAACCAAAAAUUACAUUUCUAUGCCAAAAACCCCAUUCAGAGAUAACCUUAAGCUGUCAAACAUAGAGAUUAUAAAUCCUAAAGACUGUCAAUUAAAAAAACUAAAGCAAACCCACUUAACAAAACCUAUCCAACAGUCACCCAAGAAAAAAAAUUUUAUUUACCUUCCCUAAGAUUAAACCAAAUAAAACUUGAAACCCAGAAAAAUGUCAAAAAGCCUCCAAAAAAUCCCAGGAAAAAUUAUCCAAAAUAGAAGUCAAAGAAAAAACUAAAAAAUAAUUACCUUUAGAUCAAGCAUUUGGCAGUUUGAGGAAUAGGCUGCGCCGCUGGGGAGCCGUGUUUUUGUUGGGCUUCGGCUUCCGGGAUCUUCUGCAUCCGUUCCAUGACAAGCUCGUACACUCUCUUCUUACCUGCUUGAUUGAUUAACAAAUUGAUAAGACCGAAACAAGUAAUCUAUGUGGAUAUGCCACUCAUAUUCUCUGCCUGAUCAAUUAUACAUGUAAACAAAAUUCACAGCUUGAGGUAAAGCAAAAAUCAAGAGUCGGCCUUGUUUGGAUUCCCAUUUCUUCCCAAAAAAUUUUACACUUUGCGAUAAUGCAUCUUUCAAUCACUUUUUUUACCUCAUAUCAUAUCGUUACAAUAUUUUUUUAACAGAAACUCCAGAAAAUAGUAUCCAGACGGGCUAUUUGCGAUCUCAAAAGCAGCAGUCAAAAUGACUGCUGCACUGCCCCACUCACAUCGGUUGAGCUGAAGGAACUACAAUUACACAGUCAAAAUGACUGAAGCUCUAAUAGAAAGGCCGCCAGAGUUGCUCCAAAUUAACCGGUCCAUAUCCGCUGCUAGUACAGCAAUGAUACUGAAAGAUGAAGUUGCAAUCUUGCUGCUGCUGCUAGUCUUCUCAUUGAAAUUAAUGUCUUAGUAUCCACAGAAUUUUCUCAAGUACCCCACAGCUUUCUCUUCACAGACUCGACCACAAUUACCAUGGUCCCCCCAGCUCUCUAUUGGACUCUUUUCUCAUGGCAGCCGGCUGCCAACCAGGGUGAUAGACUGAUAAACCCAAGAAUCUUUUUCUAUUUUGCUAACUUCCAAGAAAUAAUUUCAAGCAGAAAUUUGUCCCUUUCCUUACCUGCCUCCAAAAGAAAUUAUAGAAAUUACUCUUUGGAGUAUGGGAGUAUAGUAUAGUUUGAAUCAGUCUAAAGACUUGACUUUUCCGACUUGGCAAGUCCACGCAGGAGUUUACAGUGACGGAGCCAUCCUCACUUCAUUUUCCAAGGACCAAUAAUUCCUCCCACCUCAUCCUGCAAAUCCUACACCAGCUUUAAACCGAUCAUCUCCAUCGAUGUAGGAGUAAUCUGUGUGUUUUGGGGUACCCUCUUAAUUUUGCUCCAAUGUUUACUCCUCUUGUAUACCUUUCCUUUCUCUUCAAUCUCUUGUUCAUCAUCACUUCCAGCGAUACUCCACCUUACAGCCCCACAGAUUACAUCCUGAUCAACUGCGGAUCAUCCUCAAACGCAACCUCAGCCGAUGGCCGGAACUGGUACGGCGACGCCGGCUCAAAAUUCUCCCCUAACGACAUGGCGACUAUUUCUUCAGCUGUCACAGCCACCGAGCAAGACUCUUCGGUCUCCGGAGCCCCUUAUUUAACUGCCCGUAUCAUUCGUUCUAAUUUCUCCUAUACCUUCCCUGUCUCCCCCGGAAAAAAGUUCGUCCGCCUUUACUUCUACCCGGCCUCCUACUCCAGCGACUUCAACGCAACUGAAUCUUUCUUCGCUGUCUUGGCUAAUAACUACACCCUUCUGAGCAACUUUAGCGCAUUUUUAACAGUUUCUUUCGGUGGAUCCUCAUCUGCCUCCCUUGUUAAAGAAUUCAUCAUUAAUGUUCAGGCUAUGAACCAAUUCCUCAACGUUACCUUUUCGCCCUCUCCGAAGGCCUACGCGUUCAUUAAUGGAAUUGAAGUUGUUUCAACCCCGGACGGACUCUACAUGGGCAACCAUGAUAUGUCCAGUAAUCCCCUCAAAAACGUGAAUGAUCCCAACAUUCAGUUCGAGCUUGAUCAGAACGACACUGCCUUCGAAGCUCUUUACAGGCUUAACGUCGGAGGACAAGCUGUUACUGCGUUAGAUGAUAGUGGGAUGUUCCGAGGGUGGGAUAGCGAUGACAGCUUCACCUGGGGCGCAGAUGAAGGGAAUCCAUGGAGCAAUAAUAAAAUUGCUGUCAAGUACACUCCGCAAACCCCAAAUUACACUGCGCCAGCGAUAGUUUAUACUACCGCAAGGGCGAUGGGCAAGUUUAGCACCCGAUUCAACUUGAGCUGGACGUUCUCUGUUGAUUCUGGGUUUAAUUAUCUCCUGAGGUUGCAUUUUUGCGAGAUUGACCCUGAUUUGAUUACACAAGAGAACCAACGGGUGUUCAGGAUAUUCAUCAGUAACAAAACAGCUGAGGAAGAGGCUGAUAUUAUAAAUUGGACCGGCGGCCCCGGAAUCCCGGUUUUCAGAGACUACGUCGUGUUCGUUCCACACCCACCGGAUGGUCGCCCGAGCAAGCAAGGCUUGUUUCUUGCUCUGUACCCAAAUCUCGACGUCAAGCCGAAGUAUGCUGAUGCAAUCUUGAAUGGUUUAGAAUUGUUCAAAUUGAGCAACAGCGGCAGUCUUGCCGGGACCAAUCCUGAUCAGGCGGCGGAUCCCAAUUCCCCGAUGCCAAACAGCAAGUCACCGAAAAAGGGGAGAGGUGUAAAAUCUCCGGUACUUUUUCCUAUCGUGGGAGGGGUGGUCGGAGGGUCUGCCUUGGUUUUCAUCAUCGGUUUCUUGAUUUCCCGGCGGCUAAGGAGACGGGUAAAAGAUUUUGACCAGAAAAGUGCUUCAAAGUCAUCCGGGGUCCAACUUUCAACCAGGUCCAGGUCAUCAAAGACAACAAGUGCAUCGAGGUCUUCGUCACUGCCUCUAGAUCUUUGCCGAAGAUUUUCCCUGGAGGAGAUCAUCUUUGCUACGGCCAACUUCGAUGCUAAGUUUGUGAUCGGAACCGGAGGAUUCGGAAACGUGUACAAAGGGUACAUUGACAAUAGUCUAAUCACAGUUGCUAUUAAGCGAUUAAAUCCUUCGUCAAGUCAAGGGGUCCGCGAAUUUCGAACCGAGAUCGAGAUGCUGUCGAAUCUAAGGCAUCUUCAUCUGGUAUCCCUGAUAGGUUACUGUGACGAGAAGGGAGAGAUGAUCUUGGUUUAUGAUUACAUGGCCAAUGGCACCCUUCGCGACCACCUCUACAAAACAGAUAAUCCACCCCUCCCUUGGAAGCAACGGCUUCAGAUUUGCAUCGGCGCAGCCAGAGGGUUGCAUUAUCUCCACACCGGCGCCAAGCACAAUAUCAUCCACCGGGACGUCAAGUCAACCAACAUAUUACUGGACGAGAAAUGGGUGGCCAAGGUUUCUGAUUUCGGUCUGUCCAAGCUAGGCCCCAGCGGUGGAAUCCACAGCCAUGUCAGCACGCAGGUGAAGGGGAGUUUCGGCUACGUAGAUCCCGAGUAUUACAAGAGACAGCAGUUGACGGACAAGUCGGACGUGUACUCGUUCGGGGUGGUUUUGCUCGAAGUGCUGUGUGGGCGGGGAGCCAUUAUUCCCAACUUGCCCAAGGAGCAGGUGAAUUUGGCGGAGUGGGGCAAGAGGUAUUACGCUAAAGGGAUCAUCCAUCAAACUGUAGACCCUCACAUGAAGGGCGAGAUUGCUCCCGAGUGUUUGAGGAGUUUUGCUGAAACGGCGAUCAACUGUUUGAAAGAUCAGGGGAUUGAACGACCCGGAAUGAAUGAUGUAGUCUGGAGCCUCGAAUUCGCGUUGCAGCUUCAGGAGGCGGCUGAAAAUGAGAGAGGCUAAUUGAUUAGAAUAUAGGUGUAAAAAAGAAAAGUCAGAUACUUGCGGAUCUCACAGAGCCCAUGUAUAAAAUUAUGGGUACCGGGCUGUCUGAUAGAGCCCAUGUAUAAAACUAUGGGUACCGGACUGAGACAGCCCGACACCCGACAGAAACCCUUUUUUUUUUUAAACAUGUCAGUGUCAGCCCGGCACCUGACACAUUUUUUUUGAAAAAAGAUGUCAAGUGCCGGGCUACACCUGACAUCCAAUUGAGUGAAUUGCAAUUCAUCCAAUUGAGUCAAUUGCAAUUCACUUUAUUUGUUAAGCUAGUUGAUAAAUGCAAUUCACUUUAAUUAGUUUAGUGAAUUAAUUAGUUUAAUUAAUUGAGUGAAGUAAUUUUAAGAGAUUCGAUUAACUGUAUUUAAUUAAAGUGAUGGUUUUAUUUGUUACUAGGUAUUCUGCCCUGACGCUAUGCAUCAGGUAGGUUGGAUCCGGUAUUUUAUUAUAAUGAGUAUGAGUUUGAAAAAUUGGAGGGCGGAAAGAAUUAUUCAAUCGAACUUUAACGUCAAGUAUGUCUUGAAACUCACUGCAACAUCAAACAACAAAGAUCCAGUACAGAGGAGGGGAAAAAAGGAUAGCCCUCCAUCAUAAUAAAAGAACAAAGCCAUAAUUUUGUUCAAGGAAAGAGACCUUGGAUCUGCCCAGAAAGAAGUUUUAUCCAACUCAGGAACUAUAAGCGUCACAUUCAAAUGUCUGGCAAUUGCGACCAUGUCAUGUAUCUGUACCCCAAUAACAUAGAGGAAAAGUAUAGGUUAUCAAAAAUUGCUGUCAUAAGCCAGUUCAAACAUGCAAGCCACAUUAUUAAGAAUCUACUAAUCGCCGCCUGCAUUUGGUUAAGGCCUCCGUUGCAUGAAACCAUUAGAUAACCAUUGUUCUUGUAAACUCCUACAUCAAAAGGUGCAAAUUUCAAAUCUGAUUGUAGGUGGGGGAAAAUAGUAGUCAAAAUACCAAAUACAAUUCCAACAAGGGACAAAUUAAUGAUCCAUGCUUAUUCCAAAUAAAACAAACAACACAUUUAUGAUUAACCGCUGCAAAUAGAGAAUGCAGCAAAAUCCACUGAUGCAGUAAAACAACCUAAGAGGUUUGUUAUACCAAUUACUUCAUUUCAAAACAAAACAAAAGAUCAACAACCACCGCAAACUCUCAAUUCUACAAGUGCUUGGAGCAACCAAAUCUCUCAGGAACUUGCCGCAUGCUUCUCAACUUUUCAAUAAUCAACCAGCAGUCCAAGUCAGUCGUUUCAUCCAUCGGUGUGUGAAAUUAAACCCCACUUUCCUAAAUUCAAAGACCCUUAGAUUCUACAUUAUAAAGCACCCUGAACACCACAAAUACACCCACCUCAUAUCCACUAUCCUUUCCGCUUACAUUCACCAAAAUAUGAGCUUCUACUUCCCAUCUUUUAAAGCGAUCAACAUCAACCAUCAAAACAGCAAAUUCAUUACAGCGCCCAAAAAUAAAAAUCAAAGAGCAAAAACAGAAUCAAUCAAGUAGUAAUACUCAUUCUUGGGAGGAAGAACUCGAGCAGGGACAUCUUCAGGGGCAGAUUUAACAUCCAAAGCGGAAGCAGAACCAGUAACAGAAUCCUGAGAAAAGCAAGAUGGCCAUCCCUUCAAAAUUCUAGGACCAAAACUUUCACCCAAUGCCGUUAACUAAACCAAGCAAUUCCACAACAUCACAGAUGUAGUAGCCCUUAUCAUCCAUAGCUUCAUUUCGACCGUGAAACCAUGGAAUUUUUAAACUUCUCUACUCUACUAUGUUGAAUAAUAUUUCCACCUUUCAACCCCAUCACCCCACCUAAUCCUAACCCUAACCCUAGCCCCCUUAAACCCCAGUUCUUCCUCCUCCUCCAAACACUCUCCUCACUCUUCUCUUUCUCUAUUCUGCACAUAUCCCCCAUACAUCAAAAUUCCCCGCCUCCCCUUUUCUUCAAAAAAAUCAACAACUUCUCAUUAAAUUCUGCAGAAACUAUUACGUUUAAUCUAUGAAUGAAAAAAAAUCCCUGAUCUUAAUUUACAAUCUAAUAGAAAAUUCAAAAGGAAAACAAGGGAAGGAAAAAACACCGCCCGGAGAAAGCUAAGAAGAAGAAUGAGGAACGGGAAAGACACUGGUAAACAAGGCGAAGAAAAGAACGAGAAGAAACAAGACCGACAAAAGAAUAGGAAAAAGUAGUAGCUCUUCGCGGCCCAUUUUUUCGCGAUGGAAAAAUAAAUAAGAAGGUGUUUAUAAAAAAGAUGUGAUUUUAUUAAAAAAUAAAUGGAAAAGGACCAAGAAUGGGACUUAAAAAAAUGCGACAAUUUGGGUCCAAAAUUCAGUCUAAAAAGGGUUUUUAAGAAAAAAUAGGAGUCGCCACUUGGUAUUGAGUUUGGGUGUACCAAAUCACCAAAAAAGUGUUUUUUAAAUAGAAAUAAAAUAAAACCCUUUUUGACGACUCCAGGUCUUUGAAAACAGAGAAAAUAAGUUCGGGAGUCACGGUUGAAGAAAGAGAAGGCAAAGGUUCGAUUAACUCAAACCUAAGGCACCCUUUCAACCUAGUCUAAGCCAGUUGCGUGGUUUAGUCAAAAUUUUCUUAAUUUAACCCUUAAAUUUAUCACAUUUGGAUAUUUCCUAUAUGGAUGCAAAAAUAAAAUAUCGAAUAGGACAAAAUAUCCAUUCAAGGGUUUAAUUGAUAUCAAUCGCAUUGAUUGCGAAGGCCAAAAUAAUUCAUUGAAGGGGUCACGAAUAUGCAAAUGAUGAAAUUGAAAGAAAAUAAAAUAAAAAAAAAUUAAAUUAUAUACAUAGGUAUAAGUGAUCAAAGAAAAAGGAAAUGCAGCAUAAUGGGUACGGGAGACAAAAACUCGUGACAUAAUUUUCUUAUACAAGGAUUAAUGGGGUAUUUAAACUAAAGAGUUAUAAUCACCUAUAUCCAUGUUCAAAAAUAAUUCUCCUAAUAUGAACAAGCAAAUGAACUAACUUAUUUCAUAAUUUCUUAAAUGAAGUGCAAUUCUAAAUGAUUUGAUUAACACAUAUAGAGGGUAGGGGGUAGAGGAUAAUAUAAUAGAAAAUAUCAUGCAAAUGAGAAAAUUCUAAAAAAUAAAAUAUACAUGGAAAUGUAAUGGAUAUCAUACAAAAGAUGAAUCUAAUGCAUGAACAAUCUAAGGGUCUAGCGUUGGACUAACCCAUUUCUAAAGGUCCUUACUAGCAUUGGACUAGCAAGUAAAUGGAGGGAGAAACCACAACUAGCGUUGGACUAGUGUGGUGACGUCAUGCAUUAACAGUAGUGUGGUGACGUCAUGCAUUAACAGUACAUAGUAAACAAAUAAAGUAUAAAUUAGGAUAAAUAAACACAUAAGAGCACGUAGCACAUAACACAUAAGCAUAAUAUCUAAAUGCAAAUAUCCUAAGAAAAGCAGUAACACAGAGCAAGUAAGCAUGCAAAUCACAACAAGCAAAUAAGGCAAACAAGCCCUAAUUAUUACAUUAGGGGGAGGGCCUACUACAAUCUAAAAUGGGAAAUAAAAUAAAUAGUUAAAAUAAAUACCUAACUAUUACAAUUGUGGCAUUUAAUUGCCUUCCCAAAUAAUUUCGAAUCAAAUUAAAAUAAAUAUACAAAAUUAAAACAAGUAAAUAAAUAAAUAAAAACAUUCAAGAGGCAUGCAAUUAAGCACAUAAAGUCACAUAGGGCACAUAGGGUCAAAUAAAGUCAAAAAUAAGAGAAAGAGUGUACCUCCCCUGAAUUGGUACCCUAAUGAAGUAAAAUUACUUAUUUACCCUCCAAAAAAUAAAGAAAAGGUCAAGGCAUCACUUUAAGUAACCAAUAAUCACAUAAAAAGGGAAUGAAUAUGAAAUUGAAUUAAUCGAGGCACUUAAAUGAAGGUGAACAAACCAUGUCUAUGAAAUUAAAACAAGUAAGGAUUUAAUUGUAAAAAUUAAUAAAGUUUUGAGGCCAAAAUUAAAGAAAAAUAAAGUUAAGGGACCUAUUUGCAAUUAAAAUAGGGACAUAAUUGAAAGAAAUCAAAGGCCUUAGGGUCACAGUAUACUUAAUGAAAAGUACAGGGACCAUUCUACAAAUUCGUUGACCAGAUACUUGGCUAAACAGGCCGUUGGGCCAUUUUUCUUAUUUGUUUGGGCCGAAAGCUUCCUAGCCCAACUGAAAGCCCUAAGAAGACAAGCAGGCCAGCCUAUCUUUGGUCCAAGCGAAACCCAGCUAAAAAUAUAUAUGGGCUUUAUUCCCAAAGCCCAUGUCAACAACCCAGAAAAUAAGUCAUCAAUUCAUUUGUCAAACCCAACCAACAAUUCCAAAUCAAAUCACAUCUUAUUUAUGAAAACCCAACAAGAUAAAAACUCAACUAAAAAAUUACUAAACUCUGAUUAUGCAUUAAAUCCCAGAAUUAAUCUACUUAAAAACGCAUUUAAACAUGGGAAAUAGGAUCAGAACUCAAUUGCAAAAUGGUUCAAUUGCAAAAGUUUUUGGGCCAUAUUAGAAUUAAGUAAAAGUUGGGGGAUCAAAAGUGUAAUUUUUCCAGAUUUUCAUCCAAAAAUCCAAAGAAGAUUUCUGCAAUCGGAAGUUUUAUGCGACUCCUGAGUUCAUCAUCCCAGACACAUUUAUACAAAGAAAACUCAAACAAAAGCCAACCAUUUGUCAACUAAAUCAACACAAAAACUUCGACUCAUUUCCUCAACAAAAUUUUAUGAUAAAACAUUCCUUAUGACUUUUAAAAAUACCACUAUAAUUUUAAUUUCAUGAAAAAAAUAAAAAAAAUCAAAAGUCUAGAUUACAAAAUCGACAAAACUUAACUAAACAACCUCUCCAAAUAUUGAAUAGUCAGGAUUAUUCAUUUUUAACAACAAUAUAUGCACAAAAAUAAAAUUUUUAUUCGACUUUCCAUUUAAAUAUUUUUAAACAGUUUGCAUGCCUACACAAGAAUCAUUUCUUUUUCAUUGAUCUAACUUAACACAUUUCCAAAUUUUCACCAAUACAACCAUAAUAAAAACAGCAACAGUAAGAGAAAUUAAACAACCAAAAUAUGUCUAAUAAAAAAACUGAAAAAUACCUCAAUGAAAGGGGAGUUUCUUGGCUAAAGCUUUGAAUAAAUUCCUAAGCCUCAACCGUUUAUUUGUUUGUUGUUUUUACCUCCUUCAAGCUUUCUUUGAUCAAAGGACCAGUGUCUCUGCAAAAUUUGUUUUCUGUCCGUUGGCUCUGCCCAAGCCCCCAAGAGAAGAAGGAUUCCCGUCGUCCCUCAAAUGAGUUUCCCUUGAGUCCUUUUUAUGCAAUUUUCUUCUUAUUGGAUCCGUUGAGAGCCUUUCCUAGUCAAAAGGUGGUGAUGCCAUCAUGAGUCAUUAUGAUGGCUCAUUAUUAUUAUUAUUAUUUUUUUUUUUUUUUGGAAUCCAAGGAAAGAAAGACCAUAAUUUUUAAAUUUUUUUUUUAAAAAACAAACCUGCAAAAAUGAGAUAAUACACGUAAAAUGUAAGAAAAUAAAUAACACCUUAAAUGAAAAAUAAUUAAGAAAAUAUUAAAUUUUGCCAAAAAUUUGGUGUCUACAAGCUCCCAAAACCUCUGAAAGGGCGCGUACUGGAUUCAGCUCAACUCACCAGAACAGAACGAAGAACGCUAAGAACAGAACAGAACAGAACAGAACGAAGAAGAGAAUGAGAGGAAAUUGCUGACCGUCAAAAUGUUGCCAUCGAAGAGAGCCACGCGGACAGAAGUGAAUUUCCAGCAAAGCCAUUGCCAUCCAAUCCCAAAAUGCCCCUCAAAGUCACAACAAUCGCAGUAUAACCGGUCCAUUGUCCACUGUUCAUAGGCUAUUCAUGCUUUAUAUAUGUAUAUGUAGUAAGAUUUAUUAAAUAUUCAUUUAUUUGUUAUAAAUGAUUUAAUUAUUUAAUUAUAAUGCAUUAUUUGUUGUUAUUUGUUAUUAUUUGUUGUUAUUUAAUUACACUUUAUUUGUUGUUAUUUGUUAUACUAUUUGUUAUUAUUCGUUGUUAUUUAAUUACACUUUAGUUGUUGUUAUUUGUUAUUAUUUCUUAUAAUUAUAGAAUCGCAAUUAUUUAUUUAUUUGUUAUAAAUUAUAUAUAUUUGAUUCAAUUAAUUAAUUAUUCAAAUAAGCAUAUUAAUGAGGUUCUAAAAUGCUAUCAACACUCGUCUCUAAUAGGUAUAACAUGUCAAGUGAUAAUUGCUUGGUGAUUCAAGUAUAUUAGGGUGGAAAAAUUAUAAAUGAAGGAUGGUCAAUUUUAUAUGAUCCUUCUAUACCGAAACAAAUGUUGUUCCUUACAGAGAUGGUCGGUUAUGAUGACUUGGUAGACAAAAUAUACAAUCUUUUGGGUUUAGAUCGGAAUCUUCUGGGUAGACAAAAUAUACAAUCUUCAUUACAUGUUUGCUAAAUAUCAAAUAUUAUAAUAUGGGAAUUUAGUCUUUUAUUAUUUGAAUGCUUAUCGUUAUUUUUAUAUUUAGCCAUUUCACCGUUGUCACGCUAUGCAUUUUUUCCUCUUUUUUUGGUCCUUUAUUUUAUAUAUUGCACAAUAAAUUUAGUUUUAUAAAAUUAUAGUGAACAUUAAAAAUUACAUAAAAAUUCUAACAAAUUAUUUCUCAACAAUUUGAGAACUACAUCUUAUUACAAAAUGAAUGGUAUAUUUUGUUUGAAAAACAUUUUCGUUGUUUAACAUCCUAUAGGAGUAAUUAGUGAUUUUGCACAAAUCUAUUUUCUUUUUUUCUUAUGUUUCAACUUUGAAAUGUAAAUUAAUUAACUUAAAUUUCAAAGUAUUUAGUACUUCAGGUCGACUCAGCUUUUUAUUAAACUUUUUUUCUUGUUUUGGUUUUUUGAUUUAUUUUGUAUGGGAGAUUUAUGAAAUUAUCUUCACAAUACAAACUACGAAAAAAAUUCAGAACUUAAAUAGAUGUUCUAUUAGUAUGCAUUAUGUUCAAUUGGUAAAAUGCAAAAAUUCAAUAUAAGUACCAACACGAGAAUGAAUACGAAAUCUAAAAUGUUUAGGGUUUAGGGUUUAGGGUUCAAGGUUCAGGGUUUAGGGUUUAGGGUUUUGAUCUUUAGGGUUUAGGGUUUUCGGGUUUAGGCUUUAGGCUUUAGGGAUUAGGGAUUAGGGUUUUUAGGUUUAGGGUUUAGGGUUUAGCGUUUAGUGUUUAGGGUUUUGAUCUUUUGCAUGAUGCAACAUGUCACAAAUUACGAUUGAUAAUUACUAAUCAUAUCACAAUUUCAGCCUUACGAUAUUUUCUUGAGAAUAAAAUGAGAAGCUAUAAAUGAAAGAGAAAAAUUCAAAAUUAAAAGAAUAUGAAUACUAGAUAAUUGUAUUUCAAGUCAAGUGAUUUGAAUUCUAGUGGGAAGUUUUCACUAAGAAUUUUUUGUUACUCGGCACAUUUUGUUUGGUAGACUUAUUAAUUUUUUUUUUAUUUUUCAGAAAAAUUCGGUCAGGUACCGGGCUGACACAAUCCAACACCUGAUAGAUUUUUAAAAAAAAAUUUCCUGUCAGGUGAGAUUCUAUAAUUAUAAGAAAUAAUAACAAAUAAUAUAACAAAUAACAACAAAUAAAGGGUAAUUAAAUAACAACGAAUAAUAACAAAUAACAACAAAUAAAGUGUAAUUAAAUAACAACAAAUAAUGCAUUAUAAUUAAAUAAUUAAAUCAUUUAUAACAAAUAAAUGAAUAUUUAAUAAAUAACAAAUUAAACCUAAUUCAUCACCUUAAUUAAAUGCAUUUAAUCGAAUCUCUUAAAAUUAAUUCACUCAAUUAAUUAAACUAAUUAAUUCACUAAACUAAUUAAAGUGAAUUGCAUUUAUCAACUAGUUUAACAAAUAAAGUGAAUUGCAAUUCACUCAAUUGAAACAGAUGCCGGGCUGACACAGCCCGACACUUGACAUCUUUUUUUUUUUUUAAAUGUGUCAGGUGCUGGGCUGUCUGACAUGUUUUUUUAAAAAAAAAGUUUCUGUCAGGUGCCGGGCUGUCUCAGCCCGGUACCCAUAGUUUUAUACAUGCACUCUGUCAGAUCCGCAAGUGUCUGACUUUUCUUUUUUAUACAUAUAUUCUAAUCAAUUAGCCAAAAUGAGAGUGGUCGACGUCCAUUUGCUUUCCGUAUGCAUGGGUUGGGAGGAGAUGAGCAAGCUACGACUGAGGACGACGAGGAUGUGUUCUCAGACUCGGGAGUUGAGAAAGAUUCUGCCACCAGGAUGAAGAGCCGCCGUAGUAUUACGACCGGGACAUUCACGGCCAGUAGUGACAUGUUAAAGUCUGACAAUGUUUUCUCCGAGAUCAUGAAUCCCGCCGCAAGGUGAGGAUUUUAAUCAAUAGAUUAAACCUUCAAAAUUGUACGUGGGAUAUUCAUGUCUCAGGAGUCGAGCGUGCUAUGUCCUUGUGCUAUUUUUUUUUGGUUUUUUUUUGUCUGUAUUGGGCAACCUAUUUGUAAUGCCAAGAUAGUGUAUUUUUUGAAAUGUAAUAUUAAUUAAGGGAAGUACAUAAAUAUUCGGAGUGUUUUUGAAAAUGUAAAAUCGAUUUAAAAAAGUAAAUAAAUACGAUAGAAGAUCAGUAAAAUUGAUGGGAAAAGUAUUAAAUGCAAGGGAAGGUUAGUGUUUUUGAUAAUUCAUGCCUUAGGAGUCUAGCGUGCUAUGUCCUUGUGCAUUUUUUUUUUGUAUUGUGCAACCAUUAAGAUAUAUUUGUGGUGUUAAAAUAUAUUUUGAAAAUGUAAAAUUAAUUAAGGAAAGUAUGUAAAUAUGAGGGAGUAUUGUUGGGGAUGUAUGAUUAAUUAAGAAGAGUAAAUAAAUACAAGAAAUGAUUGGUAAGAUUAGAUGAGAAAAAUAUUAAAUGCAAUGGAAAGUAAUAACUGUUAGUAUGUGUAUAUAUGAUAGGUUAGGUGAAUUUUAAAUGUCUUAAUAAAAUAAAAGUACCUAACGGAUAUGGGUACUUAUUAAAAAAAAUGUUAUGAAAUAACAAAAAAAAUGUGGAUGUCCUUUUGUAUUCCCAAGGGGAUUAAUUCAUGAUUUUAUGGCAACAUUAUGUAUAGAAAUUACAAUCCAUAAAUCUAUUUAUGUAGUGAAAAAACUGUUUCAUAAGUUUCUUCAUAUUAUUGUAGUAGUGGAUGUUUAAUAGGACUAAUGCACCUUUGAUCUUGUAGUACCUAUAUAGAGGUACAUUGACACCCUUUGGGAGCACUUUUGUAUUUUGUUGGAAUACAAGAAUACCACUCUCCAUUUCUCUACUUCUUUCUCCAAUAUUUCACUUGAUAUUAUAGUAGUUUAUUUUAUUAGUUUUAUAACACGUUAUCAGCACGAGUAUCUACUUUGGAGCAAAAGGUGAAAACGGAGGCGCUACUUUGAACAAAAGUGAAACACAAGAUUUUGCCGAAAUUCUGCUUGUAUUUCUUCAAGUGACUUUUGAGGUAAAUUUCUAACUCAAAAACUUAUUUUAAUUUCUUAUGGCUAAUUUUACAAAACAAGAGUUCGUACCUCUUGAUAUUUCUGGAAAAAAUUAUUUAUUAUGGGUAUUAGAUGUUGAAAUUCAUCUUGAUGUAAUGGGUCUUGGUAACAUUAUUGUUGAAAAACAUGAAUUCUCAAACCAAAACCGUGCCAAAGCUAUGAUUUUCCUUCGUCAUCAUUUAGAUGAAGGAUUAAAAAUAGAGUAUCUUACUGUCAAAGAUUCUCUUGUCCUUUGGCAAGAUUUGAAAGAAAGAUUCGACCACCUGAAGUUGGUCGUUCUUCCAAAAGCCCGAUUUGAUUGACUUCACUUACAGCUGCAAGAUUUUAAAUCUGUCAAUGAAUAUAAUUCAGUCAUGUUCAGAAUCACUUCUCAAUUAUCAUUAUGUGGCAAAAAAGUUACUGAUGAAGAUAUGUUAGAGAAAACAUUUUUUACUUUUCAUGUCCUAACAUGCUCCUGCAACAGCAAUAUCGAGAGAAGGGAUUUAAAAAAUAUUCUGAACUUAUCGUAUGUCUUCUCUUGGCUGAACAAAACAAUGAAUUAUUGCUGAAAAAUCAUAAGUCCCGACCAACUGGUACAAGUCCAUUCCCUGAAGCGAAUGCGACUCAAUUUCAAAAUUCUGGUCGAGGUCGUGGACGUGGCCGUGGAAGAGGCUGUGGAAGAGGCCGUGAUCGUAUUAAAUUUGUGCCUCGUGAAAAUUUUAACCGUGGCAAACAACAAAAUGUUUCCCAAAAAAGGAAAAAUAACUACGAUCAGAAAAAUGGAGGAAAGAAAGUUUAUAAAGAAAAAUGCUAUUGGUGUGGUAUGGAAGGUCAUUGGUCUCGUACCUGUCGUACGGCCGAACAUCUUGUCGAUCUCUAUCAAGCAUCAUUGAACAAGAAAGAGAAAGGCAUUGAGACAAAUUUCAUUAAUCAAAAGAAUAAGAGUAAAUAACAAAAAAGCCCCCUGUGAUUAAGCAAUCAUACAUAAAAGCCCCAUGUAGUUUCAUAUCAUACCAGUCGAUACCCCGUGGUCUGAAUUAACCUGAAAAGUGGACGGAAAUCGUCAAAUAUUCGGCGUGUGUCUUAAACGAACUGCAAAGGCGCGUGCAUAUGCGAAAAAUAGAUUUCCACCACCAACUUUCAUCUGAUAUGCCUACUUUACCCUUCACUCUUUAAUAAUAAGAGGCCAGCUUCCAAGUCUUCCGAGUCUUCAUGUUCGGCCAAAAUUGAAAAUUGAAGGCAGCAUUCGAAAUCUGUCCAGGCAGUUCAAUCAAGCAGAGCUUGCAGGCUAGCAAAGGAAUUGCAGGAAACAAAGCCUUAAGGUAAAAAUGUGAACUGUAUUUGUAUAUAUUGGGUCUGCUAAUUCUGAAGGAAAAGUGGAGAAAGUACCCCAAGAUGUCUUCCUCAAGCUCUCGACCAACAAGUGGGGGAAAUGGAGGCAGAGGUCUUCGAUACUAGUACAAGGUAUGUAAUUGUCGAAGGAAGGCAAAGCUAAAGAUUGUUGAGUCGGAAAAGCCAUCGAAAGGAUUGUUAUAUUUUGUGUGUGAAAAAGAUGAAUGUUGGUUCUUUUCAUGGUGUAACCCAAUUUACAGAGACGAGCCAAAUCGAGAUGCACCUGUUCCCGUAGUGAGCCAACCUGUUGAAGAAAAUGCGUAUUUGGGUGGCGUGCUCUCGAAACUGGAAAAUUUGGACAAUGAAAUGAAGAAUUUGAAAUUGCUAGUUGGAGGUUGUGUUAUGGUAUCUAUCUUUUCUAUUUUACUGUUGUUGAUGUCUACCAGAUAAGAUAAUGGUAGGUUGUUGUUGAUGAUGUAGAUCUUCAUCUAUCAAAUUGCUAGUUGGUAGGCUGCUGGUGAUGUAUGGAGUUUUGUUGCAAUAAAAUUGAACAAAAUUGGUAAUCGACAUUUUGUAGUUUUGUUUUGGUAAUCUGCAUUUUGAAAACACCAAAAAAUGAACGAAAUAAACUAGUUGGAGUUUUGUUUGCACAUUAGUAGUCUUAACUCAACUAGCUGCAUUUCAGCAGGUAGUCUUAGCUCAACUAGUUAUGGAGUUUUGUUUGGUGUCUAUCCCAACCGAAUAAUGGUCAGAUUUGUUCUGGUGUUUCCACUACGGGUAAGAAAUAUACCUGCUAAAAAUUGGACAACAACCGAUACAGAAAACAAACAAAAGAAGAUUGGACAGCAAGUGAUAUAGAAGACAAACAAAAGAAGACAAAAUUGAAUCUAGUUGCCAGUUGCCAGUUGCCAUUCUACAUAACAUUCAUCUCAACUUGCCAAGAACAUAGAUUCAGAACUAUUUCCAGAACAAAGAGUGUAACUACAAAAUCUGUUUCCAGAUUAUUCAGUAACUACAAAAUUUGGUUGCCAUUUCAGGGAACCAAAAUCUGGUACCCAAGAACUUCAUUCAGUCACCACAAAAAUAGUAAAUACAUAAGCUAAGUGUAUGCAGAACAUAGAUUCCAUCACUGUUUCCAGAAUCAUUCAGUGACUACAAAAUCAGCUUGCUAUUUCACACAACCAAAAUCUGGUACUCAAGAACUUCAUGCAGUCACCACAAAGAGUGUAACUACAAAAUCUGUUUCCAGAUUAUUCAGUAACUACAAAAUUUGGUUGCCAUUUCAGGGAACCAAAAUCUGGCACUGUUGAACUUCAUUCAGUCACCACAAAAAUAGUAAAUACAUAAGCCAAAUGUAUGCAGAACAUAGAUUCCAUCACUGUUUCCAGAAUCAUUCAGUAACUACAAAAUCUGGUUGCCAUUUCACACAACCAAAAUCUGGUACCCAAGAACUUCAUCCAGUCACCACAAAAAUAGUAAAUACAUAAGCUAACUGUAUGCAUAUCAGUAGACAUUACAUUUUCAUCGACAACCAAUCAUUGUACAUUCCAGAUAGUUGCAGAUAUCAUUGCAACUGCAUGUAAUAUUCCAAAAUGAAGGUCUAACUACAGCUAGACAACUAUUAGGCAGGUAAUUAAGGCUGGAUAGCUUUUGAUCUCUUUGGCCUUAACUUGCGCAAGACAUCAGUAAUAGUUGGAGCUGUGGUUGUGGUUGCUGUUGCAGUGGUGGCAUCAGCACUGUUACUCCCACUCAUAUUCGUACCAUGCACAGGCUGCAAUUACAUAUAUAAAGAGAACUUGGAUGUAUAUCAGAACUCCAUUUGUUUUUAUGAAACUCAUUAAAUCAAUGUAAAAGCUUGGUUGAGUGUACACCUUCCUAGCCUGUUUGCUAGUCAUUGUGGUACUUUGUGCAGUAGGAGCUCCUUUACUAGUUGACUGUGGUUGAGUGGACGACUCAGCAAUUGGUUCAGCUGCGCUUGCUUCAGGUGCCUAUAAGAAUGAUAUUUAACAUUAUUAAUACAUACAGAUGCUAUACAAAUGACAUUUAAGUGUACAAGGAAAAUUACCUUAUAAAAUUUAGAGUUAGGGUGAAUGGGAUUCUUGCACGUCCGUGAGUUAUGCCUUGGCUGAAAACAUCUCUUGCAAUGUACCACAAGCCCCUUUCUAGUUGAUACUUGACCCUUCUUAGGCUCAUAUUGUGCUCUCCGGCGUAGUUUCUUUGGUCUACCAGGCAUUCUCCUAACCGCAGGGGGGUUUAUGGACUCUUCUUCAGCUGUUAUCCAGUAAAUAUCACUUGGAACAGGUGUGAUAGUAUAUGCAUAUGUUUUCAGAUAUUCUGCUCUAGUGUAGCAAGCAUGCACAUAAUUUUUAAUAGGUAAUCUACACACUCCUCCGCACAUGCAUGGGCACAAGGAUAACCUGUUAAUUGAAAAUAUCCACAGGUACAUGUCCACUCACGCAAGUCUACUACCACACAUUUUCUCACACCACAGUCGACCUCAUACUUGUGACCACCGUCCCAGGUCGCAACAAAUGUCCUACUCAACUUCUGAUUCUUGUCGAUCUUUUCUGCUAUAUUAGGACAGAUCUCUCCUUGAAACUUUUGCAUUCCAGAUCUCUUUGUUUGAAUUCUCUGCAUCAAUCUCCUCCUUAUCCAUUCAAGCAUCCCAAUGAUAGGUAACUCUCUUGCUUCUAAUAUAUAGUUGUUGAAUGACUCAUUUAGGUUGUUUACCAGAAUGUCACAUUUACUAUAACCUGUAAAAUGUGAUCUACUCCAAAGGGCUGGUGGAAUUCUGCUCAACCAUUCAGCAGCUUCUUUGUUUGUCUUUUCUAGUUCAAUCAUUGCCAUUUUCCAUUCCCUUUCAUUGCCAGCGCUUGCAGCAGCCCAAAACAUGUCUUUCAUUUCCUUUCCUUUGAACUUUUGGUUAAAAUUCUGGUACAUGUGCCUCAAGCAAAAUCUAUGCUCUGAAUUUGGAAACAGUUCAUUCACAGCAUGCACAAGCCCUUUCUGUCUAUCUGAGAUAAAGGUCCAAGGAAUGUUAUCUCUUCCCAUGCCCAAAUCAGCCAUUAGCAACUCCAAAAACCAUUUCCAGGAGUCAUACCGCUCUACCUCUACCACUGCAAAUGCUAUUGGCACCAUGUUGUCGUUGCCAUCUCUGCCAAGUACUGAUAAUAAUUGUCCACCAAAUGCUGUCUUAAGGAAACAGCCAUCUAGACCAAUUAUUGGUCUACAACCAUCAAGAAAACCCUUCUUACAGGCAUAUAAGUAAUAAUAUAACCUUUGAAAUGUACCCCUUGAACCAUCAGGAGGCUUGUCAAUCUGCAUUUUUACAGUACUUCCAGCAUUUGUGUCUCGGACUGUGGCUGCAUAAUUCCAGAGUUUUUGAUACUGCUCCAUGUCCGUGCCUAGCAUCAUAUCCUUUGCCUUACGUUUAGCUCUACCAACCUUAGCAAUUAACACAUUAAUCAUUAAAUCUCUUCUGAUGUCAUUCUUCAACCCCAUCAAAUCAACUUUUGGAUUAUCCCUGAUCUUCUCUUGAUAUUUGUUGCUCAGAUAUGAGGCUAUUGCAUGCUUAUUUUGAUAUUCUCGAGCACACACAUGCUCACCCUUCAGUGACUUUAUUUGGAAGGUCGAUUCAUUUUGAAUUGGUGUUGCUCGAAUCCUUCAACUACAACCUUUUGCACAGAUGGCAAUAAUUUUUUUGGAGUAGUUUUUCACCCAAGUAACUUCAUAACCCUCUCUUACUAGCCAUUCACACAACACAGAUCUAAACACUCUAAAAUUAGUAAACUUCUGCCCCACUUUCAACUCAAAGUGUGGCUUCCCAAACUCAACUUCAGGAUUGAAGUCAAGGCAGUAAUCUUCUUCUCCACUAUCAGAUCUAAAUCUGUCCAGCAAAUCUUCAUCUGGAACCACAGGUUCUUGCCAAUCCUCUUCAGUCACCUCAGUAUUCCCUACCCUUUCAUCUUCUUCUCUCAAAUCUGAUUCUCUAAAUGUUGCAGAAGAUUUUUUGAUGUUUGCAGCUUCAUCUUCUAAUGGCCCUUGAGAUGAUACAAGUCCUUUUUCAAUGCUUACAUCUUCAGCAUCUGAUGGCCUUUGAGAUGAAACAGGGGGUCAAUUUGCCGAAUCACAUCUGGCCCUCUAGAUUGUGAAGUUUUGCUGGCCCUUUUCUUUCUCACAGAACCCCUUUUAGGAGAACUUUUUUCAUCUGUCUUUCCACCAAAUGAGAAUAUAUGCACUGGCAAUUUUUUUAUGUCUCCAUCUGCCCUUGCCCCACCUUUUUUGUUAUAGUUGCUGGGUCCAGCAGUAUCUUUCUUGGGGCUAAAGAUGUCUUCAUCUUCUAUUGUUUCCAACCCAUCUUUUAACCAUUCUGGCUCUUCAUCAUCUUCACAUGCACCUGUCCCCGUAGUGUUAGUGACCCCACUAUUUUCAUGUCCAUAGGUUGUAUCAGGGCCUUCAUUUUUUAUUCCAUUACUGACCCCACCAUCUUCUGGCUCCUUUUCAAAUGGCUCAUCCCCACUACAAGCAUAAAUUAGCCUUUCCAUUGGCAAGUUCCAGUAGCACUGCUUCAUUAAAUUAAUAUCAUUAUUGUCCCUAAUUGGGUGUAGAGCACCUUCUAAAUCAACAUCUGGGACACAAAACCAAAACGUUACUUUAUUUGCUCUUUCAUCUACUUUUUUAAACAUUCUGCACAGGCUCACUAUCGACAACUGAUCUUCAAUUCUGUCUUUGAAAAUAGCCAUGUGGGUUCCUGUGUAGUGGAGCCUUGGUUUUUCUCUAAAUCUCCCACCAAAAUGCAUGUGUAUCUCAACUUUGUCCUUGGAUUUCUCCUCUGUGAUACCAUGACAAGCAAUAAAGUUCUCAGAGUCUUUCACAAGUAUACAAAAAACUAACAUAAUACAAUCAGAACAAACAAUUGGGGACCACAUUGGACCACAACAUGUCUCGAUAUAAGCCAUAUUAAGAUAAUGACAGAUUACAGAAACUGGCAUGCUUGACUAAUCAUGGCAUUUAACAGUAGUAAUUGAUCAAUAGAAGUAAUACUGCACUUUGAUAGUAUAACUUCAAGCCAAAAAGACGGACUGUCAGACUCAACAAUUGAGUCUGACCAAAAACAAGGGAUAACCAGAUUAGGACCUGAAACACGUAGCCUUAUCAUCCCAAACAACUGAGGCAUUGGAACCAAAGCUGCUAAACGCGUUUUUGGAGGGACCUCUUCUAUAAAGCUGUCUCUUUUUAAGCUUUCAAAAAUUAUCAAAACUUUACCAAUUUGAAAGGAACGCUUAAACUAUCUAUCUAUGCAACUAGGUUUGCUGGGCAUACGUCAAAAACCUUUAUCUUCAUUAACAACAUUCGUAAAUACAUCAAAAAAGCUAUCUUUGUUAAAUAAUGCCUCCCAAUUUAAUCUGAAAUCAGUAAAUAACAAUUUUUCUUGUACAACAUACCCCAAAACCCGAAUCGAAAUAGAUGAGAGAUGAUAUACUAACCCAUUUUUCUUCGAUUUUUUACCGCAAAUCUUCACUUCCUCGUAUUCUCCAUCGAUCUUGAUAUUUGAUUGAAAUAACAAUCGAAAUUUUUGCUGAAAAUUGGCUACAAAAGGGGCUGCUCUAUCUCUCUCUAGGGUUUCCUAUUUCUUUCUCUCUCUCUUCGUUGGUUUCGAUAGAACGAAAGUGCAAAAUUACUUCUGCAAUUUUCGCUUAUAUCAAAAGGGUAUUUUCGUCUAUUCACUCAGUUUCGUCUGUUUUGCCGAUUUCCGUCCACUUUUCAAGUUAAUUCAAAUCACGGGGUAUCGACUGGUAUGAUAUGAAAUCACAGGGGGCUUUUAUGUAUGAUUGCUUAACCACAAGGGGCUUUUUUGUUGUUUACCCAAAGAAUAAUUAUAAUGAUGCUGAUGAUGCUGAUAUGACACACCUCGAUGUAGCUGAUUUUUUUGAGCAUCCUGAAAAUGUCAACAAAUAUCUCAUGAUUAUUUAGAUAUUUUUAUGAUGUUUUAUAUCUUUUAUGUAAUUUUUUUUCAUUGAAUAUUUAUUUUUGUUUGAAAUUUUCUUCCUGAAUAAGAAAUUGAUGUCAAAUAUUUGGGAUUAAAUAAUGGUGAUGAUGAUAUUUGUCUCAUUGAUAGUGCUACUACGCACACCAUAUUGAAAAAUAAAAAAUAUUUUUCUUGUUUGAAAAUGGGAGAAACAAAUGUUAAUACCAUUAGUGGUAGUGCAAAAUUGAUUGAAGACUCCGGAAGAGCCACUUUAUUUUUCUCUUAAGGGACUAAAAUUAUUGUAAAUAAUGCACUAUUCUCUCCCAAGUCUCGGAAAAACUUAUUAAGCUUUAAAGAUAUUUGCGAAAAUGGAUAUCAUAUCGAGACAAUGAUUGAGACAAAUGGUGAAUUUUUAUUAAUCACAAAUAUCAUUUCUGGAAAAAAAUACGUAGUAGAAAAAUUAUCUUCUUUUUCUUCUGGCUUAUAUUAUGCACAAAUUAAUGCAAUUGAAAUUCAUCACCUAGUAGACCAGAAGUCUACUCAUCCUAAUGAUUUUAUAAUUUGGCAUGAUCGUCUCGGACAUCCUGGAUCUAUAAUGAUGAGACGAAUAAUCGAGAAUUCACAUGGCCACUCAUUGAAAAAUCAAAAGAUAUUAAAAGCAAAUGAAUUCUCCUGUGUUGCUUGCUCUCAAGGAAAAUUAAUUAUUAGACCAUCACAAGUUAAAGUUGAGAUUGAAUCCCCUACAUUUCUAGAACGAAUUCAUGGUGAUAUAUGUAGACCUGUAGAUCCACCAUGUGGACUAUUUCGAUAUUUUAUUGUGCUAAUUGAUGUAUCAACUAGAUGGUCACAUGUAUAUUUAUUAUCUACUCGCAAUCUGGCGUUUGCGAGAUUGCUUGUUGACAGGGUGUCGAAACCUGUACAAUAAUAAAAUUAAACCUAAUUGCCAGUUAAAAUGACCAAACUCAAUUCCAAGUACUAGAGCAGGGACUUUAGGUGUGCAAUGGAUUACUUGAUUCACCCUGUUCCCGAAGAGUUUGCUUGGUCCGAUAUACCCGAAUGGAAUGGUUAUUUCUUUUCACAAAUAAUUAUGAAUUCGUAGACAUGGCAAGUAGGGUCGUAUCCACUGGGAUUGGGUAUACUUGUUUCUUAAGAAAUUCAAAACAACACAGGGGGUGAUUUUGUAGGAAUGAUAACAAUCAAAUAAAUUCAAAUAAGAAAAUAAAAAUGAAAAUAAAUAACUGACUAGAAAUUAAACAAUAAUUCACUGAACUCAGAGUAACAAUAAUUAAAGGCCCAAAUCAAUUAAAACAAGGAAGCACUUAAAAAUAAAAUAAAGUAGGCAACUAAAAGUCAAAUGGCAAUUCACCAAAAUUAAGAUAAUAUUAAUUAAAAGUCUAGCCAAGAAAUGACUUCAGCAAUGGUUCACCUAAUUGAUCAUCGAAGCAAAGGCAAUCCCAAUUGUUUAUCAAUAAAUAGGUUAUAACUACCAAACAAGCGAUAGCAGUCAACUCCUCCUUACUGUGUCGAUGAUUAAGGUACGCCCGUUAAUCACUGCUCUAAUUAAGGAAUAAUUCUAGGUACGUCCGUAAGAUUUAAUUCCCCAAUUGCCUUACAUAUUAGAGGAGCCCUAUUCUAACCAAAUAACGGACUACCAGGGUUAUUUUAGAUUAGCCGUCGUAUCCCCCUGACACGAAUCUAAUCGUGCCAGUUGUCACUAUUUCAGGACAAUUACGGAUUUAAUGCUUUAAUUGACAGUAGGUUACCAAAUCAAUUAAUUAUCCGGAUCCAAAAUAAUCAAUUAAUUAAAUAAUCAUAAGCAUAGCAAACAAGGAAUAAGUGGAUAUCAAUAAAUAAAAGGGAAAGAUUAAAUUAAAACGAUCUUACAAUUUUUAGGCUACCCAAAACAUCCGUCGUCUCUUGACUAGAAUGAGAAAAUUAGUUCAUAUUUGAUGAACUAAGUCCGCGGGAAAUUUCAGCAAAAGUCACGGCCAUUGUCUGCAUUUCAGGAAGCCACAAUUCGUCAAACAAUUGAAAGGCGAAUGAAAGUUACAGGUAACAAUUGAGUCUCUUAAUUGUUUCUAGCAUCCGUAGAGCAAAGCUACUCAAAAGGUACAAGGAGAAAAAGUCAAAGUAGAUAGCCUCCAAUUCUCCUGACAUGCGUGAGAACAAACAAAAAGGAAUUCUAAAGGAAGAAGCUAAUGAAAUGCUAAGCUAGUCCUCAUUGUCUUUCUCCCAGCCGUGGAGAAUGCCUACAAAAGGCUCAGAGGAAAAAGUCAAAAAGUGCGGCUCUCCAGCCCCUGCUCUCUUCCUUCUCUUUUUUUUCUCCUAAUUCCCCGCAGCACCUCAGCAAAAUGAAGCCCUUCCGGCCGUCAUUCCCUUGCGGAAUUUACCAAAAUAGACGUAACAUCUUCUUUUCCAAAAAUAUCCCUGGGUCAAUCUCUAUCAUCGGGACUCUUUUUCUGCCAAAUGUGUACCUGUCAUCAUAUUUUCGUUCUACUCCCUGAAAUAAGUGCAAAUUACGAAAAGUAAAUAGAAUCUACUAAUUAAUCCACAUCAGGUCAGGUAAUAGGGAAAAUUAAUAAUAAAAUAAAUAGAUAAAUUGCAACCUAUCAAUUCCCCCCACACCUAAACCAUGCUUGCCCUCAAGCAUAAGAAAAGUGUACAGACACCAAAAUUUGAUAAUGGUCAUCACUCUAUUCUACCAACUUGCCAAGAUAUCAAGAAAAACCAUAUAUCGAGUACUAGUGAUCAAAAUCUGAGGAGCAUCCCCCCAGUUAGCCUCUAAACUGCAAAUUUCUUCAAUUUCCAAAUUAGCUAAUCUAAGAAGAAAGAAUGACGUAUAACACUUAUCAGCAAACAAUUCAAAUAUUAACCAAAGCCUCCAUAUUCAGUCCAUAAAUGGGCAAGCUGACCUCUAACAUAUUACACAACCUGCACUUUUCUGUUUUUUUUUUCACUUUUUUCAUUUCCAAUAAUAAUAACAAUACACAAAAGACUUAGUCUCUAGCCAUUGGAGCCUUUUGACGCGAACUCCAAUAUUUUUAAAUGAAGGAGCCCGGUUACUCAGCUCUCACCGCUAUACGACCACGUACUCAUAAAAAGUACCACCUUUUGACGCGAGAAUCAACACUUUUAGGUGCAGAUUCCCGAUUACUCAGUAGCAACUAUUAGCGGAGUACAGUCAAACUUAUUCACAGCCAAAUAAUGCAAAAACGCAAGAUAACAACACUAAUAACCACGCAUAGGAGCAGCUCACCUCAUUAUUGCCAAACAUGGAGAACUGGAGUCAAUAUUGGACCAGUUCACAUUAAAAUGCCAACAGCCAUUCCCUAUGCCUAGAAAAGUUAACAAAGAAAUCAAAAGAGUCAAACAGUCCGAUAUUCACCAAGGAGAUAUCUUGGACCCAACCACAUUAAUCCGAUACAUUUUUAUUUUAAAAACUUGGCAAAAAUAGAAUUAGAGGCAAUGAACCAACAUCCAUUUUUUUUAAAAAAAAAUUUUUCACAUGAGGGAUAAGCACCAAGAAAAGAAAGUAAGCAAAUGAGCAACUAGAAAUAAAACUAAAAACUACUAAUAACUAGAAAAUACUAGCACCCCAUUAGACCUCUCCCACACCUAUAGGACACAUUGUCCUCAAUGGGUCAAAUAAACAGCACAAGUAAGAGAGAAAGCAACCAAACUUCCCUGAAACCGGGUCAAAGAGGUGGGCGAGGUGGAAAUGGAGCAGCGAAACCCGUGUGAAAUAAAAACUGCACCAAAUUCUAUGCCAUGCCUGCGACAUUGGCGUCAACGUUGACCAUUCGAGCCUCCAAAGCCCGAACCUGCUCCCGGAGUUGCUGCUAUUCAGUCGUCCCAUGUGGUGGAGAUGACGCAGAAGAUGAAGGCCCAGCUGUGUCCUCGACUGACUCAUGAAAUGAAGAGGACCCUGCUCGGGUCGAAGGGUGCACCCCUGGAGCUCGAACUGGUCCCGGAGAGGUAAACUGGUAAGAACCAUCGGGUAGGCGCUCGACGACUUCCAUUUUCUCUAAGUAGUCCACGCCCAGGAGCUCCAUCUCGAAUGCCAAAUGUAGGUCGUGGUUCUCCAGGUUAAGAACUCCCAACUGUGUUGCCAAGUGUGUGAUAUAGGACCCAAGGAUCAGGGGUUUGUUCUUUUUGGCUAAGACGGUCUUGAACUGUGCCGCAAACCAACAACCCAAGUUGACUUUGUUGUUAUUCUUCAUAUUCCAGAUAAAGAAAAACUCGGGUCGAGAGAGAAUACCGGAGCUGUCCUUGCGACCGGAGUAGCUGUAGUCUAAGAAUCGCUGAACGUAUCGGGCGCUAGGGUCCUUAAGAAAGGAGCUCCUAGACCUAGAAGGGUCGUAGCGGUGCCGAUCGGUAGACAUGUCUUCCCACAUAGUGCGGUAGCGGGAGAGAAAAGGCUCUAUGUAAUCACAGGCACUUUCACCAUACUCUCUAGUCUCAGCAUACUCCCGAGUAAUAAAUCCAAAUGCCAUAUUAAAUUGGGUAAUCGAAAAAUUAAAUUUCCGACCCAUCAGACGGAAGCGGAUGACAUUGGGUGUCACAAGGGUGUACCUCGUGGGCAACUCAAACUCAAAGGUAGAAUAAAACUCCCGAGUGAGCUCGACAAAGGCGGGGCAGAAGAUAUAGAGAUACGGGCGCCACCCGAUGGCUGUAAACAUCUGCUCGACUUCCUCUCGUAUGCCUAGACCCAUCAUAACUAGUUUACUACAAGAUUUACAAGGUAUGAUACGCCGCUCACAGACCUUAGCAUAUCUCUGCUGAUCGGCGGGUCUAGUGAAGGUUAGGUGCCCUCCAAAGUGAGUUGGGGUAUCUACCUGGGCACCCCUGCCCCUACUCAAGCGGGUUCGGACAUUAGAAGAGAAGGGUAGAUUGGUAGGUGUAUUCACAGGAAUAGAUGCAUGUGGAGGGGUUGAGAACGAGGGGCCCUAGACCUAGAGGAUGAUUUAGGUCUCACCAUGUCUCCCAACAGUCAGCUCAAAGUAACAGAAGAUCCAACAGGUAUAGAAACUAGCAAAAGCAACUAGCAAAAGAAGCUCAACAAAAACAAAGCAAAAAUCUCCCAGUAGUAACCCAAUCAAUAACAAACAAAAGAGUUCCAGCAAGUAAAAAUGCCCAAUGUCCCAUAGAAGACGAACAAACUGUUAUGAGUUCAAUGACUAUAGCAAUGAAAGUAACCCCAGCAAGUAUGCCAGUCCACAGAAGUCAAUAUGUAGCCCGAUAUAGUAAGGCCUUCCCAAUCAGCAAUUCAACAAGUAAUUAAACCGAAUAUUACCAAUCUCAACAAGUACUUCACGCGGCCAGUCUCUCUAAUUCAACAAGCAAUUUCAGAAAUAACUCAACCAAAAUCCCAAAAGAAGCCUCAGCGAGUCUUCCAGCAAUUCAAGCAGAAUAGUGCCCAACAAUUCACUACGAGUCAACCAAUUUUCACAAGCAAAAUGAGGUUCAAAAUUUCCUCCAAAGUUAGCAAACAACCACUGCAAUUCAGCUCACCCAAAGUCCCAACAAAUGGCUCCAGUUGGCCAAUUAAUGCCUUAACUCAGAAUUAGCAAUUUCAACAAUGAUAGCUUAGAUAUUUGACAAUAAUAACUUAGCCAACCAAAAUCGUAGCAAAAAUUCCACAAAAUCAACAAUUCAGGCAAUAACAAUUCAGACUCGGACAGUGACAAAGGAAUUCCAAACCUUCAGCUUCCUAUUAACCAGCCAAUAAGAGAGGAAGGAUCAAAUGUAGUCCAAAUACCCAAACAAGGCAAUGACUGGACUCAACAGGCAGCGCACAACCAAUACAGCUCAACAGACCUAAGCCAAUAGAACUCAAACCCACCCAAAAGUGCGACUAAAAUAUGCAAGAAAAUGGCCAACCAGUAAUCAACAAAGUCAGGGCAAAUAACACAAUCAGUACCACUGGUUGACCACACAAUUGAAGAAAUAACUCCCACGGCCACCAAUACCAAUUGUGGAGGGGCUCAAACAGCACCAAACAAUAUUAGAAAUCGGGGGAUAAAUUCCAAAUACCUCCACCAGGACCACGUCGGGCGGCGGACAGAGCAGCGAGCAGAGGUCAGCUUGCUUCUGUGGCUUCGGGAGGCAGCGGCGGCGUGGGGCUGGUCGGCUUGCUGGAGGCACGAGGAGAGAGAAACGAUGGACAGCAGCCCGCAACCCCCAGUUGGAGAGUGGCGGCGACGGUCGUCCGACUGCAAGCGACGUGUGCCCGGUCACUCGCGGCUGGGGAAACGAGGCGCGCUGUUGCAGCUCGCGGCGAAGAUGGUGGCGGCGCGAGGUAGAAGAGCGGCGUGCGCAGGUGGGGGGAAGGAAAGAAAAGGCGAAUAGGGGAGCGGCGGCGCUGUAAAGUGGGUCGCUGCUAAGAGAGGGAUAGCUCGCGCGAGGGAGGUGCGUAGGGCAGCGGCAGCGUGCGGGGCUGAACAGCGGCGGCGCGCAGCGGGCGGCUCACGGGUGUCGGCGUGCGCAGGGCGAAACAGAAGAGAAGAAAGAAAGAAAAGAGAAAGAAAGAAGAAGAAGGAAAGAAAAAGAAAGAAAAGAAGGAAAAAAGAAAAAAGAAAAAAGAAAAAAAAAAUUUUAGGCUCCAUAUGCGCUACGAUGAGAAAUAUUUUCUCUUUUUUUUUGUUUUAUUUUUUUUAUGAAAAUUAAUAAAAAUUUUUUUUGAAUCCUUACCUUUCCCGCGAACGUGACGCUGGCACGUCAAAAGGCAAGAAUCCCUUUUGACGAUUCUGAUCGUGAGUUUUCUGUUCAUCACGACGCAGGCACGCCGAGUCAGACAGACACCUACAACUUAUCAAAAACGAAAAUUUCAAACCCGAAACCAAUCAAACUCAAGGAAAACAAAGUGAAACUAUCACACAAAGCCAAACAAACGAUUAAAAGAGAUUGGGUUGCCUCCCAAUGAACGCAUUUCUUUAAUGUCUUUGGUUAGACAUGGUAAAGUGUCACUAAUUAGGACACGGUGGUGUGUCUAGACUUACUGUCUCAACCUCUCCACUUAAGAAACCUUCGUAAUAAUACUUGAGGCGGUGUCCGUUCACCACAAACUUGUUGUCUGUCUUAGCACUCCGGAUUUCAACUACACCAUAUGGAAACACGUGAGUGACAAUAAAAGGUCAAAUCCAACGGAAACGUAACUUACCUGGGAAUAGCUUGAGCCUGGAUUGGUAUAGGAGGACCUUCUGACCAACUUCAAAGGUUUUUCUAGAAAUUUGUUGAUCAUGAAAUGUCCGGUUUCUCUCCUUAUAAAUCAGUGCAUUUUCGUAGGUUUCGUUCUGAAUCUCCUCCAAUUCUUGCAAAUCCAACUUCCGUUGGGCACCGGCCUCCUCUAAACUCAUGUUGCAUUACUUUAUCGCAUAAAAAGCUCUGUACUCGAACUCCACUGGAAGGUGACACGGCUUCCCAAAUACCAACCUGUACGGUGACAUCCCUAUAGGAGUCUUGUACGCAAUCCGAUAGGCCCAGAGUGUGUCAUCCAACCGUUGACUCCAAUAUUUCCUAUCGGGGCGCACCAUUUUCUCCAAAAUGGACUUAAUCUCCCGGUUCGAUACCUCCGCUUGACCAUUGGUCUGAGGGUGAUAUGACGUUGAGACCCUGUGGAGUACACCAUACUUGCGAAACAACGCAGCUAUGGUUCUGUUGCAGAAGUGCGUUCCCCUAUCACUGACAAUAGCUCUUGGCAUUUCAAAUCGCACAAAAAUAUUAGACCUGAAAAAAUCUGCAACUACUUUUGAGUCAUUAGUCUGAGUGGCCUUAGCCUCCACCCAUUUAGACACAUAAUCAACUGCCAGCAAAAUAUAUAGAAAACCAAAUAAAGUAGGAAAAGGCCCCAUGAAAUCUAUACCCCAAACAUCAAAAAUUUCAAUAAAAAUCAACGAGACCUGGAGCAUAUGAUCUCCACGGGCUAUAUUACUUACCCUUUGACAACGAUCACUUGACUUACAGAACACAUAAGCAUCCUUAAAUAAUGAAGGCCAAUAAAAUCCACUCUCUAAAAUCUUAUGAGCAGUUCUCUUGAGUCCAAAAUGACAUCCACAGGCAAAAGUAUGACAAAAAGCUAAAAUCGAUUGAAAUUCCACUUCACUUACAGAUCUCCUCAUCACUUGACCUGCACAUCUCUUCCAUAAGUACGGGUCAUCCCAGAUGAAAUAUUUGGCAUCACUCUUCAAUUUAUCCCUCUUCGAUUUCGGCCAACCUGCAGGAAAAUUACCCGUUACUAGAUAAUUGACCAAAUCAGCAUACCAAGGCAAUUGAGAAUUUAAGAAAAAUAAAUGCUCUUCAGGGAAUGCAUCCUUCAAUGGCUCGUCCUUUUCCCCAACUGGUAUGCGACUCAAAUAGUCUGCUUCUAGAUUUUCUGAGCCUUUUUUAUCCCUUAUCUCUAGGUCAAAUUCCUGUAGUAGCAAUAUCCACCUGAUAAGCCUCGGUUUGGCAUCCUUCUUGGUCAUUAGGUACCUUAAUGCUGCAUGAUCAGAAAAUACAAUUACUUUAGCACCUAACAAAUAUGAUCUGAAUUUUUCUAAAACAAAAAUAACCGCAAGAAACUCCUUCUCAGUGGUGGAGUAAUUCAACUGUGCCCCAUUCAAAACCCGGAAUGCAUAAUAGAUGACAUGAGCCACCUUUCCUACUCUUUGCCCCAGUACAGCCCCAACAGCAUGAUCACUGGCAUCGCACAUGAUCUCAAAUGGCAAACUCCAAUCGGGGGGCUGGAUGAUCGAGGGCGAGGUAAGUAGCUCUUUCAACUUGUUGAAAACUUUCUCACACUUGUCAUCGAACUCAAAGGUCACAUCUUUUUGUAAGAGUUGGAAUAACGGGGCCCCAAUUUUUGAAAAAUUCUUGAUGAACCUUCGAUAAAAACCUGCAUGUCCAAUAAAAGAACGCAUUUCCAGCACAUUCGCGGGACAAGGUAAUGCAGAUAUAAUGUCUAUUUUAGCCUUGUCAACCUCAAUGCCCUUAGACGACACAAUAUGACCUAGGACUAUCCCGUGCUCAACCAUAAAAUGACAUUUUUCCCAAUUAAGCAUGAGAUCAGUCUCUAUACACCUUAUCAGGAUCAAUUUCAAGUUAUCUAGACACGUAUCAAAAUUAUCACCAUACACACUGAAAUCAUCCAUGAAAAUCUCAAUUAUUUUCUCAACAUACUCAGAAAAGAUGCUUACCAUACACCUUUGGAAUGUUGCAGGUGCAUUGCAUAACUCAAAUGGCAUUCGUCUAUAGGCAAAGGUCCCGAACGGGCACGUGAAGGUUGUCUUCUCUUAAUCCUCUGGUGCAAUUGCUAUCUGAAAAUAUCCUGAAAAUCCAUCCAAAAAGCAAUAGUAAGCUCUACAAGCUAAACGUUUAACCAUUUGGUCAAUGAAAGGGAGAGGGAAAUGGUCCUUUUUGGUGAUGGCGUUCAGCCUACGGUAGUCAAUACACUGCCUCCAUCCAGUGGAUUUCCGCACUGGCACGAGCUCACCCGUUUGGUUAGCCUCUACCGUCACUCCUGCCUUCUUUGGGACAAUCUGGACUGGACUCACCCAAGAGUUAUCUGAUAUUGCAAAAAUAAUUCUCACAUCUAGCAAUUUCAAAAUUUCUUUCUUUACCACUUCCAUCAUGAGGGGGUUGAGCCUCCUUUGAGCCUACCGAACAGGUUUAGCAUCCUCUUCCAGCCUAAUCCGAUGCAUACAGAUGGCUGGGCUGAUCCCCUUAAUGUCUGCGAUUGUCCAACCUAUCGCCUCUUUAUGCUCUCGAAGGACUCGGAUCAGUUUCUCCUCCUAGAUUUUUGAAAAUGCCGAUGAGAUAAUCACUGGGAGUGUCUCAUUGUCACCCAAAUACGCAUACUUCAGGUGCUCUGUUAGGGGUUUUAACUCCAAUUCAGGUGCAUGCACCACAGAUGGCAAUACCCUCUGGUAAAAUUCGGGAAUAAAGAUAGGUAGGAUUUCAUACCUUUUUGUGGUGGUCGGCAAUGAGUGUAAUGCACCUAUUGUGUAUUUUAGAUUCUCGCUCCAUUCCACCUCAGGAGUUGUCCCCAACUCGAGGUACUUCGUUAAAGCCACCUCCAACUCAUCCCUGCCAACAGUUUCGAACACUUCCUACACCGCAGGGUCAAUAGCACUCACAGAUAAAACUGAGCUAAAUUUGGAGAUCGAGUGAUAUUUCAUAGUAUCAAAAAUAUUAAAAUGCACAAUUUUCCCAUCAAAUUUCAUGGAUAAGGUACCCUUAUUAACAUCAAUUUUUGUUUGUACUGUGCUCAUAAAGGGUCUACUCAAUAACAAAGGUGAGGGAUCGGGGGAGUGAUCAUCAUCCAUAUCAAGUACAUAAAAAUCAGUUGGAAACACCAAAUCAUUAACUUUCACCAACACAUCUUUAACCAACCCAUCAGGAUAUGCAUUAGUUCGGUCAGUUAAUUGAAUGUUAUUCCAGUUUCUUUUAAUAGACCUAGUUUCAGAGAAGCAUAGAUAGAUUUAGGCAUGACAUUAAUUGAUACUCCCAGAUCCAACAUGGCCAUUCUAAUCACAGUGUUGCCUAUCCUACAGGGGAUAGUAAACAUACCUGGGUCCCCACACUUUGGUGGAAGCUUUCUCUGCAGGACCGCUGACACAUUCUCCCCAACAAUGACCCUUUCAUCUCCCUCAAUCGCCUUCGGUUGACACACAAGUCCCUUAGGAACUUGGCAUAUUUUGGUACUUGUUUGAUGGCGUCUAAGAGGGAGAUAUUUAUCUCCACCUUGCGAAACACCUCCAAGAUCUCCUACUCUUUAUCCUGUUUCUUCGAUUUUUUCAACCUGCUAGGAAAAGGAGGCGGGUUAGUUUUAACUGUAAUUAUUGGGUUUGGAAGUACCUUUGGAUCUGCACCAUUGCUGUCCUCCCUCUCAAACUCAUUUUCGAUCUUUUUCUCAUCCUUAUCCUUAGGGAUCACAGGUUCAGGCCCCUGAAUUUCCUUGCCACUCCUCAAGGUCAUGGCGCUCACAUUCUCCGAGUUCAACUCAGGCUGAGACGGCAAUUUAUCCUGGUUUUGGGACUCCAAACGGUUGAUUGAUGUGGUCAUUUGACUCAUCUGAGUCCUUAUGUCCUGCAUUUCGGAAUCCGUCCUUUGCUGAUUUUGCGUAAUAGUUGCCAUCAGCUGUUUCAUCAUCUCCUCCAAAGAUGGACCAGAACUUGGGGGCGGAGUGGUCGGGGCUGGUAUUGUUGCUGGUACCCUAGUUGCUUAUUUGGCACGAAAUUAGACUGCCUGUUCGGUGCAAAGUUGGGCUGCCUAUUUCCUCCAUAGCUGAAAUUCAGGUGAUCCUUUCAGCCGGGAUUGUAGGUACUUGAAUCGGGGUCAUAGGGCCUUCGUGGCGCGGGCGCGUGACCAGCCAUGUUCACUUGCUCUGCACUUUCUUCCUGGAGCAUUGGGCACAUGUCUGUAGGAUGACCCAUACCCGUGCAUACCCCGCACACCUUGGCCUGAGAUGCACUUCCUACAGCAAGUUGCCUAACAAAAGAAGUCAAUUCAGUCAACUGCUGCUGGAUAGAGGAUGUCUCUACCUCGUUCACUUUGCGUACCGGGACAUCCUCCCUUGUACCAAAUUGCAGCGAAUUCUCUGUCAUCCCCUCUAUUAACUCCCUUGCUUCCCGAGGGGUUUUGUUCACCAGUGCCUCUCCGCUUGCAACAUCAAUUAUACUCCUAUCUUUGAAAAGGAGCCCCUCAUAAAAAUACAAUAUGAGCAACUGCUCACUUAUCUGGUGCUGGGGGCACUUGUUGCACAACUUCUUGAACCGCUCCCAGUACUCAUAGAGUGACUCCCCUGGGUGCUGCUUGAUCCCGCAAAUUUCUUUCCUUAGACUUGCAGCCCUGGAUGCAGGAAAAUAUUUUUCUAGAAAUUUUUUCUGCAACUGGUCCCACGUGAUAAUGCUACCUGGUGGCAGGUAGUAUAGUCAGUCCUUUGCAGAGUCUUUCAAUGAGAAAGGGAAUGCCCGUAUUUUUAUUUGCUCUUCUGUGAUUCCCGGGGGUUUCAUACUAUUGCACACAACAUCGAACUCCUACAGAUGCUUAUACGGCUCCUCACCUGGUAAACCAUGGAAAGAAGGUAAAAGAUGAAUAAGGCCAUAUUUUAAUUCAAAUGGAGUGCUAUUAUCUAAAUUUGGGAAAGCAAUACACAAAGGCUGCUGAUUUAAGUUAAGAGCAGCCAACUCCCUUAAUGUUCGUGCAUUAGCCAUGGUGUCUUCCUCCUGGUCAGAGUCACUCGAAGUGUCACCAAACGAGUCUGUUGGUUCAACUUCUGACUCAGAUCCCUGAGAUACAGCACUGGAGUGCUCCUCUCUGAGAUGUCUGGUUUUCUUUCUUGUCCUACGCGCGGUUUUCUCUACUUCAGGGUCAAAAACCAAAUCACCUGUACGAGAAGACCGAGGCAUACACUAGAAAAAAAAAUACCAGAAAAUUAGAACAAAAAAUGAGUUUAAAAAGAAACAAAUAAUAACGCCAGUCCCCGGCAACGGCGCCAAAAAUUGACAGGGUGUCGAAGCCUGUACAAUAAUAAAAUUAAACCUAAUUGUCAGUUAAAAUGACCAAACCCAAUUCCAAGUACUGGAGCAGGGACUCUAGGUGUGCAAUGGGUUACUUGAUUCACCCUGUUUCCGAAGAGUUUGCUUGGUCCGAUAUGCCCGAAUGGAAUGGUUAUUUCUUUUCACAAAUAUUUAUGAAUUCGUAGACAGGGCAAGUACGGUCGUAUCCACUGAGACUGGGUAUACUUGUUUCUUAAGAAAUUCAAAGCAACACAGGGGGUGAUUUUGUAGGAAUGAUAACAAUCAAAUAAAUUCAAAUAAGAAAAUAAAAAUGAAAAUAAAUAACUGACUAGAAAUUAAACAAUAAUUCACUGAACUCAGAGUAACAAUAAUUAAAGACCCAAAUCAAUUAAAACAAGGAAGCACUUAAAAAUAAAAUAAAGUAGGCAACUAAAAGUCAAAUGGCAAUUCACCAAAAUUAAGGUAAUAUUAAUUAAAAGUCUAGCCAAGAAAUGACUUUAGCAAUGGUUCACCUAAUUGAUCAUCGAAGCAAAGGCAAUCCCAAUUGUUUAUCAAUAAAUAGGUUAUAACUACCAAACAAGCGAUAGCAGUCAACCCCUCCUUACUGUGUCGAUGAUUAAGGUACGCCCGUUAAUCACUGCUCUAAUUAAGGAAUAAUCCUAGGUACGCCCGUAAGAUUUAAUUCCCCAAUUGUCUUACGUAUUAGAGGAGUCCUAUUCUAACCAAAUAACGCACUACCAGGGUUAUUUUAGAUUAGCCCGUGUAUUCCCCUGACAGGAAUCUAAUCGUGCCAGUUGUCACUAUUUCAGGACAAUUAAACAAUUACGGAUUUAAUGCUUUAAUUGACAGUAGGUUACCAAAUCAAUUAAUUAUCCGGAUCCAAGACAAUCAAUUAAUUAAAUAACCAUAAGCAUAGCAAACAAGGAAUAUGAAAGGCGAAUGAAAGUUACAGGUAACAAUUGAGUCUCUUAAUUGUUUCUAGCAUCCGUAGAGCAAAGCUACUCAAAAGGUACAAGGAGGAAAAGUCAAGUAGAUAGCCUCCAAUUCUCCUGACAUGCGUGAGAACAAGCAAAAAGGAAUUCUAAAGGAAGAAGCUAAUGAAAUGCUAAGCUAGUCCUCAUUGAGUUUGUUUGGAUAAGAGUUUAUUUGGAUGAUUUAUUUGAGAUAUUUACUGUAGCACUUUUUGUGAUAUGAUGUAUGUGAGAUAAAAAGGUGAUUGGGAUUUGUGAGAAUAAAUUUUGCAAACCAAAUUAUCUUUGUCCAAACAAACUCAUUGUCUUUCUCCCAGCCGUGGAGAAUGCCUACAAAAGGCUCGGAGGAAAAAGUCAAAAAGUGCGGCUCUCCAGCCCCUGCUCUCUUCCUUCUCUUUUUUUUCUCCUAAUUCCCCGCGGCACCUCAGCAGAAUGAAGCCCUUCCAGCCGUCAUUCCCUUGCGGAAUUUACCAAAAUGGACGUAACAUCUUGUUUUUCAAACUGGGUCAAUCUCUAUCAUCGGGACUCUUUUUCUGCCAAAUGUGCACCUGUCAUCAUAUUUUCGUUCUACUCCCUGAAAUAAGUGCAAAUUACGAAAAGUAAGUAGAAUCUACUAAUUAAUCCACAUCAGGUCAGGUAAUAGGGGAAAUUAAUAAUAAAAUAAAUAGAUAAAUUGCAACCUAUCACUUGUUCAAAUAAUUAAAUUGCCAGCACAAUUUCCAGAUUAUCCAAUAAAGAAAAUUCGUCUAGAUAAUGCUGGUGAAUAUUCGUCACAUGCUUUUGACGAUUAUUGUAUGUCUAUUGGAAUAACUGUUGAACAUCCUGUAACUUAUGUUCACACACAAAAUGACCUAGCUGAAUCAUUCAUUAAACGGUUACAAUUAAUCGCUAGACCAUUGUUGAUGAUAUCUAAAACUUCCUUCAUCUGCUUGGGGACAUACUAUUUUACAUGCAGCAACACUUGUGAGAAUUAGGCCAACAAGUUAUCAUACUUACUCUCCCCUACAAUUAACUUUUGGUUAUGAACCCAAUAUUUUUCAUUUACGAAUAUUUGGUUGUGCGGUAUAUGUUCCAAUUGCACCGCCCCAACGUAGUAAAUUGGGCCCCCAAAGAAGAUUGGAAAUAUAUGUCGGAUAUGAAUCACCUUCAAUCAUUAAAUAUAUGGAACCAUUAACAGGUGAUUUAUUUAUUGCGAGAUUUGCAGAUUGCCAUUUUGAUGAAUCACAUUUUCUGACAUUAGGGGGAGAUAAAAAUCAACCGAAAAAGGAAAUCACUUGGAAAAUAUCAUUGAAUUUUCUUGAUUCUCGUACUAAAGAAUGUGAAUUAAAAGUUCAAAAGAUUAUACAUUUGUAAAAAAAUUACAAAUCAAUAACCAGAUGCAUUUAAUGACUCCAGAAGAGUUACUAAAUCACAUAUUCUUGCUGAAAAUGCUCCGAUUAAAAUCGAUAUCCCUGAAGGACAAAUUACAAGUGCUAAUAAGUCUAAAGCACGCCUGAAGCGUGGGAGACCUCUUGGUUUCAAAGAUAAAAAUUCUCAAAAAAAAAAAAGAGGAGUAGAUGAAUCAACAAUUAGUGACAAAAUUCAACAUCCUGAAGAGGUCGCUCCUAAAGAACCAAUUCUUGAAGAAAAUGAAAUUAUAGAAAACUCAAUAAAUUUUGUCACUUUAAGAAAAAGUUGGAAUCAAAAAGAAAUAAUUAUUGAUAAUAUUUUUGCAUAUAACGUAGCACUUGAUAUUAUGGCAGAGGAUGAGGAUUAUGAGCCUAGAUCGGUUGAUGAAUGUCGACGUAGAAAUGAUUGGCCAAAAUAAAAAGAUGCGAUCCAAUCUGAAUUGGACUCACUGGCUAAAAGGAAAGUUUUUGGACCUGUAUUCCAAACACCUGAAGGUGUAAAGCCAGUAUGAUAUAAAUGGAUAUUUGUGAGAAAAAGAAAUGAGAAAAAUGAAAUUAUGAAGUAUAAAGCAAGACUUGUAGUCCAAGAAUUUUCACAAAGGCUUGGAUUUGAUUAUAAUGAAACGUAUUCACCUGUAGUGGAUGCUAUCAUAUUUAGAUAUCUUGUGAGUUUUGCAGUACAUAAAAUAUUAGAUAUGCGUCUAAUGGACGUUGUUACUGCAUAUUUAUAUGAAAAUCUUGAAAAUGAUAUUUAUAUGAGAAUCCCUGAAGGAUUCAACAUGCCUGAAGCAUGCAAAUCAACUCCUAAAGAUAUUUAUUCUAUUAAAUUACAAAGGUCUUUGUAUGGGUUCAAACAAUCUGGACGUAUGUAGUAUAACCGCCUCAAUGAAUGUCUAACUAAAGAAGGUUAUACCAAUGAUCUAAUAUGUCCAUGUAUUUUUAUCAAGAAAAAUGGAUCAAAUUUUGUGAUAAUUGCGGUAUAUGUUGAUGAUCUAAAUUUAAUUAGAACUCCUGAAGAGAUUCAAAAUAGUGUUGAAUAUUUGAUAAAAGAAUUUGAGAUAAAAAAUUUUGGAAAGACAAAAUUCUGGCUUGGUUUACAAAUUGAGCAUUUGAAAGGUGAAAUUUUUGUUCACCAAACUGCUUAUACCCAAAAGGUAUUAAAACGAUUUUAUAUGGAUAAAGCACAUAUAUUAAGUACCCCAAUGAUCGUCAGAUCAUUAGAUCCUAAUAAGAAUCCUUUUAGACCACGAGAGAAAAAUGAAGAGAUACUUGGUCCUGAAAUACCAUAUCUCAGUGCAAUUGGUGUACUAAUGUAUCUUGCUAAUUGUACAAGACCUGAUAUAUCAUUUGCAGUGAAUUUAUUAGCAAGAUUUAGUUCCUCACCCACAAGACGACAUUGGAAUAGUAUUACACAUAUUUUUCGCUAUCUCCAAGGAACAAUUGAUUUUGGUUUAUUUUAUUCAAAUAAAUUCAAACAUGAAUUGGUUGGUUAUACUGAUGUUGGGUAUUUAUCUGACCCGCAUAAAGCAAGAUCUCAGACUGGUUAUUUAUUUACAUAUAGAGGCACAGCCAUUUCUUGGCGAUCUACAAAGCAAUCACUAACCGCCACUUCAUCGAAUCAUGCUGAAAUAAUAGUAAUUCAUGAAGUCAGUCGAGAAUGUGUUUGGUUAAGAUCAAUGACCCACUAUAUUCGAAAGAGUUGUGAGUUAUUCUCCGAAAAAGAAAAUCCUCCAACUACAUUAUAUGAAGAUAAUGCAACUUGUAUAGCUCAAUUGAAAGGAGAUAGGACAAAAUACAUUUCACCAAAAUUCUUUUUUACUCAUGAUUUGUAAAAGAAUGGUGAAAUUGAUGUGCAACAAAUCCGAUCAGAUAAUAAUUUGGCAGAUUUAUUUAUCAAGACAUUACCAACUGCGACAUUUGAGAAAUUGGUGAAGAGUAUUGGAAUGCAACAAUUAAAAGAUCUCAAAUGACGUUUGCAUCAGGGGGAGAAAUUAUUACACAAGAAUAAUGUACUCUUUUUCCUUCACUAGGGUUUUUGGUCCCACUGGGUUUUUUCCUAGUAAAGUUUUAACGAGGCAUAUUCUUUGUGUAAUGGACAUCCAAGGGGGAGUGUUAUGAAAUAACAAAAAAAAUAUGGAUGUCCCUUUGUAUUCCCAAGGGGAUUAAUUCAUGAUUUUAUGGCUACAUUAUGUAUAGAAGUUACAAUCCAUAAAUCUAUUCAUGUAGUGGAAAAACCGUUUCAUAAGUUUCUUCAUAUUAUUGUAGUAGUGGGUGUUUAAUAUGAUUUAUGUAUCUUUGAUCUUGUAAUACCUAUAUAUAGAGGUACAUUGACACCCUUUGGGAGCACUUUUGUAUUUUGUUGGAAUACAAGAAUAUCACUCUCCAUUUCUCUACUUCUUUCUCCAAUAUUUCACUUGAUAUUAUAGUAGCUUAUUUUAUUAGUUUUAUAACAAAAAACCCUUUCUUAAAUAUUUUUUCUUGCGAAGUCAAUAAGUAUAAUAUGGCACGGUUUUGAUCACUUAGGAUUCGUUUGGUUCACGGACCAAAUAAAAUGGGAUGACUCAUGCUCGAAUUAUUAAUCCUGAAUUGAGUCAUUUUCAAAUAAAUAAUAUAAGUUAUCUAGUGUUUGAUUGGUUAUAAAUUGGACAGGAUAUGUUGGGAAAUAAUCUUAUCCCGUGUUUGGUUGGAAAUUGGAUGAGAAAAGAUUACCAUUUUAAUGACCAAAGUACCCCUUAAUUUGUAGAAUUCUUUUUAAUAAAAUAAUUUAAUAUUUUAAAAAUAUUAAUAAUUUAUUAUUAAAAAAAUAAUUUAAUAAAAAAUUUCAUAUUUAUAACUUUUAUUAAAAUAGAGUAGUUUGAAACUUUAGAAUUAUAAAGUAAAUCAUGCGUUUUAAUAUAUAAAAAUUUGCAUUCACUCAAACUCAACCCAUUCGGGUUCUUAAAAAUACAUUUUUGACCAAGUUUUUGAAUCUACAUUUGAAAUUCAAUUAAAUAAUGGGCUGAGCUUUGCUAAGGUAGGGUUAAAUCGAUUAAAACCUAACCCAUUUAAGAGUUUUAAAUGAGCGAACUCAAUCUAAUAUAGAAGAUUUUUCUUUGGACCGAGUUUGAGUUUAUUGAAGUCCUCAUUCGCAAAGGCCAAUUGAUAAGGUUAUAUAUUUAUAUAGAAUUUGGUUUAGAAAAUAAGCUUAGUAAGGAUAAUUUAGUCCAAGGGCAAUAUAGUCCUUCUAUUAUGAUGUUAGUAUGGCAAAUUAGUCAAAAAAUUUAAAUUAAUUAAUAGGGGUAAAUUAGUCAAAAUUUUAAAAUAAUAAAUAGGAGCAAAUUAGUCAAAAAAUUAUUCGUGCUCCGAGUCUUGAUUAUUCCUCAACUAGAUAAAAGGAUUUAGCCUUGCCGCAUAAUCACAAAGCAAUUGAAGGCUUUCGAUGGAAUAGAAUUUAGUUGAUGGAAGAGGAAAAAGCCAUGAAUCUUUGACUAAUGUUACGAAGAAGAAAAGAAAGACAAAAGUUUCCAAGCUAAAAGACCCAGCCCUAGUCUAUUCUUGUUUUCUUUUAAAGCUCCGCCGCCGUCCUCUAGCUAGCCGAAUUAGAGGUUGUUUCUCAAACGAAUUGCUUCCUUAUUUCCCUCCUUGAAUUGCUGCCAAAAGUCGUCUUUGACUUUGUUUUCUUAUUCCCGCAAGUUCAGAAUUUGUUCCCAGAGAAAGGCGGUAGUUCCACGGAUAGGACCCGUGGUCCGUCUUUUUCACGCAGCUCUGUAUUAUUUGGCGUGGGCAAGCUAUAGAAUGUCUAGUCUUCUGAAAUUUGCCUCUUCUUGUCACUUUUAACACCACUCGUCUGCCAAUAACACAAAUACCAAAUCUGAGCAGAAAUCCAGUGUCUUGCACAAUAAAUGACCAAAAUUAAGAUCAAAUACCAACGAAUAAAACACACAAUUAUAUCACUAUCAAAGAGGGAAUGGAACACAUUGUACUGACAGUAGACAUUUUGUGGCAGAUAUGAAAAUCUAGAAACCACUUUCAGCUCAAGAAGGAAAGGAAAUGUCCAGGAACAAUGGCAAGCAAAGCAGUGCAAGAAUGGCAAGAAUAUAGAGUAGUGCAAAGAGGGGAAGAUGGGGAAACAUGGAAAGAUAAGGAGAAUUCUGAGGUUGAGGUCAAGUGGAAACCACCUACAAAUGGUUUCAUUAUGUUAAACAUUGAUGCAACUUUGGAUAAGAAACAAGAGAAGGCUGGUUGGGGAAUUGUAACAAGGAAUGAACAUGGAGAAGCAGUAUGCACUUAAGCUGGAAAUGAAAGCAAGAACAGUAAGGCUGAGAUUGAAGAAGCGUUGCAAUCAGAACUGCAUUGACGAAGGCCAAUUAGGAAGGUUGGAGGAAAGUUAUAGUCCAAUCAGAUUGCAAAAAUAUGGUGGACAGGAUUGCAGAGAGUGGUACACUUGAUCUUGUGAUAGGAACAAUAGUUGAGGACAUAUUUAGUUUUAUACAAAGUUUCAAUAAAUGACAUCUUUCCUUUAUCAAGAGGGAAGGUAACUAUAUUAGUCAUCAUUUAGCAAAAUUUGCCAUAAACCUGGUUAAGGAAGUCUGUUAAAGGGAUUCUUUCCCUCCCUGGUUAAUCAACUUAGCCAGAAAUGAAGUAGGAGCAAUUGCUCCAUCCUUGUAAUCCUUUGUGUUUGAAAUACAAAGCUAUUAUUGUUCGGUAAAAAGAAAAACUUAGUUAACUCAAUUAAUUGAAAAUUUUAUGUCUAUAGUUAACAAUAGAACAUUUUGAAAGACUACAUACAACCUAGAUUCUUUGUUGCAUUCAGAGAAAGAAAAGGUCCAACCCCCAUUAAUAUACCGUGUGUUUUAGUCAUUUUUUAUUGAAAAAGAAAAAGAAAAAGAAAGCCAUAUUGAAGGUGACAGAUUGUGAUAUUACUAGGCUAUGGAAGUUGGCAUUCAGCAAUGUGUUUGCAUUAAGAAUAGGAUAAAUUACCUUUUACUUCCGUGGUUUGGUGUUUUAUGACAUAACUUCCCUAUGACUUAAAAAUUUAUAUAUAAUCUUCUCAUGAUUUGGGUUAAUGUGUCACUAUUAGUUUUUUGUCCAAACAAACAGCCAAUAAUAAAAAACAAAUUUAAGCUAAUAAAAAGAUAAAUUUACUCUUUCAUUACUUCUUUUUUUCCUCUAAACAUAAAAAAGAAGAAAUUAAAAUAAAAAAUAGAUAAUAUGAACUAGAAAAUAUCAUUAAAAAUUUGGUUUAAAAACAUAUAAUGAUAUUUGUGGUACAAAAAGGUUUGAUAUUUUUUGUUUCUUAUUUAUUUAUUUUAUGUUCCUAUUCCAUCUUUUUGGUUUCUUAUUUAUUUUUUUAUUUCCCUUUCAUCACUUUGGUAUUUGGAGAAAAUUAAGAUUUUAUAGGUUAAAGUAUAGAUUUUCAAAAUCAUCUAUUCUCUUCCCAAAAAAAAAAAAGAGAGAGAGAGUGAGAGAAAGAAAAGGAAAAAAGGAAAAAAAAAAGUGAAAGGAUGAACUGUCAAUUUAUUAGUUGACUUUGAUAUUUUAUUAUUGACCACUAAUUUUAACAGAAAAACUAAUAGUAACACUUCAACCUAAACUAUGACAAAAUUAUAUAUAAAUUUUUUGACGAUAAGGAGGUUGUAUGGUAAAAUACCAUACCACACCACGGGGAAGGGGAUAAAAGGUAAUUUAUCCUUAAAAAUAUAGUAGUGGUUAAGCAUACAGAACAAGGAUAUGACUCCGCAGCCAUAUUCAUGUAAUCUAAAUUUUGGCUGGGAUAUGAGAAUUCGCAUUCACUUUCACACUUUGUAUUUAUGGUUACAGGGAUACCAGGAAAUAGCAGAACAAUCUCUGCAUUGAUUCAUUUACUUGGUCUGACAUAUGCUCUAUUUAUAGGUUCAAAGAAUCUGCAUGGAGUUUGGUACUGCUUCAGGGGUCAGAAACAUGGAUAGACCAAUGUUUUUAAACUCGGACCGGUCAGUGAACCGGAGAGGUUGCCGGUUCGCGGUUCGACCGGUCCGACCGGUCCAACCGGCCGGUUCAUAGGUUCACUGUUUUUUUUUUUUUUUUUUUGUUUUAGUGUUAAGUACUAAGCAGGUUUCAUUCUACACUUGAACUUUACCAACAUAACUUAAUUUAAGUUAUGAUAAUAAUAAAUUUCGUAAAAGUUAUACAUAAAACAUGGAAUGAUAAAUAUAAUUAAAAUAUCAUAAUUCACCACAAGUUUUCAUAAAUUCAUUAUAAACAUAAAUAGAUACAAUCCAAAUGUUCACCAAUUAUCACAAAUAAAAACACAAAAAAUAAAUAAAUUAAAUAUUGAAAUUCUUUUACAACCCUUAAAAAAAUCCAUAAAAGAGUUCAAGUUAAGACAAACCAUUUGAAUAACAAAUUUUUAUGAGUGGCAUGAUAAGCAACCACACCAUCUUCACAAUUUAAUCAACUUAAGCUGAAAAAGUUAAAAUUUUAUUAUAAAAAUAUAAAUCUAAUUGCUCAAACUAAAAAAAAACUAAAUUUUUUUGAAAAACAAAUAUACAGUUAAACACAUAAAAAAUUAAUUGCUACUAAACAUUACUAAUUAACAUGUUAUAAUAAAUUCAAUGAUCCUAUACCAUUAAUUAUUUUAAAUUCAAUUAUCAAUAGUUUCGAUUAUGUGCCAACUACCAUAUUUUUUACCAGCCCAAUGUUAUUAUUUGUAAUUCCUACCCAAUUCCUACAUGGAUGUGCACUACUUUUGCAAAAAUUUCAUCCUUAAUUAAUCAAAUAAAAAUAAAACAAAAAAUGAGGGAAACAUAUGAAAAUUGAGGGGAAAAAGAAGAAAAUGCAAAAAAAUCAACUAAAGAUAAUAAUAUAGAAAAAAAAAACCUUGAAAAGAAAAAAAUUAAACUUACCAAGAUGUUGGAAAACAAGAAAAGUUGAAAUUUUCAACUUGUUUACAAUCUGCUAAAGAUAAUAACCUGAUAAUAAUGGUGAAGACUUGAGAAAAUCUUGUUGUGGAUAUUUGGGUUAAAAAUGGUUAAGAAGAAAAAAUUGAAAAAAAAAAAUAAGAGAAGAACUUGAUGUUUUAAUAUAUUUUUUAGUCAAGUAGAAUUCUCAACAAACUUAACUACAGUCUAGCGGUAAGAUUGUCAUAUGCAAAUUGGGAGACCCAGGUUCGAAUCAUGGCUACACCAUUCUUGGUAUUUUGUUGAAAAAUUUAAAAAACCGCCGGUUCACGGUUCUUAACGGUUCACACGGUUCGUCCGGGUUUCAACGGUUCUCCAUGAACUUCCGGCUUUAGCAUUAGACCGGACCGGUGACAUGGCCGAUUCGCGGUCCAACCGGCCGGUCCGGUCCGGUUCUGAAAACACUGGGAUAGACACAAUUAUGACACAAGAUUUGAGUCUGGUUGCCAAAAUUUCACAAGAAAAGGUUCAUUUGGCAUCUAAUCUUUUAAAACCAAUCCAUGAGAUUUGCAUUAUAAACACAUAAUUCAGUACCAUUCUUGGUAUUUUGUUGAAAAAUUUAAAAAACCGCCGGUUCACGGUUCUUAACGGUUCACACGGUUCGUCCGGGUUUCAACGGUUCUCCAUGAACUUCCGGCUUUAGCAUUAGACCGGACCGGUGACAUGGCCGAUUCGCGGUCCAACCGGCCGGUCCGGUCCGGUUCUGAAAACACUGGGAUAGACACAAUUAUGACACAAGAUUUGAGUCUGGUUGCCAAAAUUUCACAAGAAAAGGUUCAUUUGGCAUCUGAUCUUUUAAAACCAAUCCAUGAGAUUUGCAUUAUAAACACAUAAUUCAGUAAUCUGUGAGAUACUGAGACGGCCUCCGAAUAAACCAAAAGCUGUGUCCACAAGAUGCUUAAUAGAAAAACAAAUUGCCAGAACAGGAUGGUUUAGUUCCAGGUAGCAUUACAUAGAAGAGUUUCAAACAGAAUUUGAUGGACUAAUAAUGACACAAUCUCAGCAGCUUCAGCAACCUGUUAAGAACAUUGAACAAACAUCAUUAGAUACGUUGACAUGAAAAAGAUAAACAAAAAACAGAAGAAAAAAGUCACCACAAUAAAUAGUAGAACAACGAGAAACUGGUUUUCCACUUCUCAAUGCUGCUCUGCACAUAGUAUCACCACUACUCUACAUACAAUCUUCUUCCCGUUUUGAAUAAAGUAGGGUUCUCAACCAUUAUCUCCAACAUAAAUCAGACCAGUAAAUCCAUUUUCCUUUUCCUGGUCCAAGAACUUCCACAAGAAAAAGACUUCAGACCUCCAAAUAUGUAUUUAUAUGCUCUAUGAUGAACAAGUUCCUGCUACAUGACAAUUAAAGACGAAAUUUGCCAUCCUAAACGCAGCAAUUGUUUAACACUAAAACACAUGCAAUUUGCUGUAACAGAGUGGAAAACUAUGUUACUCGGGCUCGGGUAUGAGAGUCAGAUAUGGGUAUGUGUCUAAGUGUCUAGUUCUUUAAUCAUCUAAAAUCAGGAUAAAGGGACACUUCUAAAGAGUCGGAUACUGGUACUUAGGUAUGAUGGACUUUCUAGGAAAUAUAUAUACAAAUUAUGUACAUUGAUUGUUGUUUACUUAUAAACGAACAGGGCCAUUUUCCUUGGGAGCUUUUCAGAUUUCAUUUAUACAAGGGAAAUUCAGAAUUUUAGAUAGGUCUUCUUUCUCUCUAACAUGAAAGUCCUAAAGUUUUCCACUUCACUUUACUUCUCUCCUCCCCCUUCACCAUCAACAUCCACUGACAAAAAAGAAAGUACCCAAAAAGUUGUUGAAGUCCAAUGCCUGGUCGACCUCUCCUGAUGUAUCUGUCAGUGAAGGAAGCAUCCCAUACCAGUACCUGUGCCAAGUUAUGUCGACACGGUAGAGCCGGAGUAACAUAGGUGGAAAGGUGAUUUUCCGGUAGCUAAUUUGUCAGUGUCACAAGUUUGACAAGCAUGGUGCAGCUUAUACCCAUUAUGGUAACAAUGGCUUUCACCCUGACAAAAUUAUACAUAACUCGAUGACUAUGUCUUGGAAAAUAUUUUGCAUUGCUCGGGCAUCCAAGAAAGAUAGAUAGUGAGAGUGAUAGCCAGAAAUUUCAAUCACUUAAUAAAGCUCACUUCUCUCUUCCUUUCUACCUGGCACGUUAGAAUCAACAUUCCAUUCCAUGGAACUGGUCAUGAAAAAGUAAAUGUGUGUUAGGAACCAAAUAUACCCCUCAUCUCAACACACAUUAUUUAUUUCUACAGCCAAGCCCCACAAAACUUUGGUUUCAAGAGGACAGAAAGCAAAUUCCUAAGCCCAGAUUCCCAGGACUACAGCUUUUUGUUAAAUGUGAGUAUUAUCGUCAGCUAACCUUUCUCUGGAAAAGCUGUUUAAUCAGAUUCUUUCCUAGCUGGGGAUACAAUGUACCUCUACAUGCCCCUUGGAAGAGAGCUUUUGGCUACAAACCUCAAUAGGCCACAAUUGUUUUCCAGCUUAGCUCCACUACAUGGAUAAUUUCCUAUUUCUUUUUUUUUCAAGUCCUUUUGCCCAGUAUCAAGUAAAAAAUGAGGCUCAUAGAAGAAAUGAAAGCUGUAACUGGCCAAAUCUUGCCGGUAUUGACCAGAACUGACUACUAAAGCACCCCAAAUCCCAUGGUUUUUUCUUCAUGCGAGCAGUUGCACUUAUAGAUAGCCAGUUUGUCACACAUCACAUAGUCUACUCACUUAAUAUAACUAAAAAGCAGUGCUCUUAGUUUUGAUUGAUGCUUUGACAGAAAUUGGUAAACAUUCAGGUACAAAUGCAAUACCCUAGACAGAAACCUCAUGUACUGCAGGUGAACUAAGUGGCUAAAUGUGAAAAUCAUUUAUUAGAUAGUACAAAGGCACUGCAUUUGCAAUCUUUUCCAUUGCAACAGAACGAUUAGCUUCAAUACUUCUGAGGUACAAAAUUAUCAAAAUUUGUUCAGUUGACAACUAAUCAGGCCAUUAUCGUUAGCACAUCUAGAAACAACUUUGGGAGUUAGAUGUAAUAUCAAUGAACAUUCAAAGGUAGCAAAACGCUAAUCACAGAUCCACACAAAGCAAAGCAACUAAAAAGUUCUCUCACUGAGUAUGUCUGUGCUGCACAGAGCAAAUACAUCCUAAAACAAGUUCAUAAACAUUGUCUCCAAAGUGGCACUCUUCUUUGCCUGCCAACUGAAGCAAAUCUCCAACCAACAAAAGUAAGGUACAAAAGAAGGAUAUAAGCUUUAUCACAAAGAAGCACAUAAAUGAGCAAUGCAACACUCUUAACAGAUACAUAAAUUCACUAAGAAACUCAUAAACUUGAGUUAAACCACAUUCGAUUGGAGAAAACGUAAAUGACCACUUACAAAACUAAAACAAGAAAAAUCGUUGAUUAAUACUCCCUCCGUCCCAUUGACACGGUCAUAUUUUCCUUUUUAGUUCUCCCAAAAUAUUUAUAACUUACAUAAAUUGGCUAACACAUUUGCAUUCAAUUCCUCCAUUUACCGUUCAAACACUCCCUAAAAGUCCAAUGCAUGUCUUUUCAUGAGCCCACAGAUUAUUACCGACGAAACUAGGACAACUUCUUUUGUAGUACGCGCUAGUUGGCAUUAAGAAACUAAAGCCAUUAAGUGUUCUGAUGCACGCGCUAGUUGGCAAUCAUAUCUGCGAUUGGACAAACAUCUUGGCUCCACGAUUCUUUAUGUCUUAACACAACACUUAAAGCUCUUCAAUUUUCAAAUUCUAUCCACUCUUCAUAAAAAUUACAGUCCCCGAAGUGCGAUAAAUUUUAUGGGACAAAGCGAGUAAUUCUCAAUAGGAGACCAAAACUGUUCCUAAAUCGUAAUUUACUGUAAUUUACUGUAAAAAUUAAAUCGUCUAUUGUACGAAUCAUUAGCUCAUAAUUUGCAAGCACUUCAACCAAAAAUUACAUUUCUAUUCCAAAAACCCCAUUCAGAAAUAACCUUAAGCUGUCAAAACAUAGAGAUUAUAAAUCCUAAAGACUGUCAAUUAAAAAAACUAAAGCAAACCCACUUAACAAAACCUAUCCAACCGUCACCCAAGAAAAAAAAUUUUAUUUACCUUCCCUAAGAUUAAACCAAAUAAAACUUGAAACCCAGAAAAAUGUCAAAAAGCCUCCAAAAAAUCCCCAGGUAAAAUCAUCCAAAAUAAAACUCAAAGAAAAAACUAAAAAAUAAUUACCUUUAGAUCAAGCAUUGGCAGUUUGAGGAAUAGGCUGCGCCGCUGGGGAGCCUUGUUUUUGUUGGGCUUCGGCUUCCGGGAUCUUCUGCAUCCGUUCCAUGACAAGCUCGUACUCGCACUUCUUACCUGCUUGAUUGAUUAACAAAUUGAUAAGACCGAAACAAGUAAUCUAUGUGCAUAUGCCGCUCAUAUGCUCUGCCUAAUCAAUUAUACAUGUAAACAAAAUUCACCGCUCGAGAUGAAGCAAAAAUCAAGAUUUGGCCUUGUUUGAAUUCCCAUUUCUUCCCAAAAAAUUUUACACUUUGCGUUAAUGCAUCUUUCAAUCACUUUUUUUUACCUCACGUGUGUCAUAUACUUACAAUAUAUUUUUUUCACAAAAACUCCAGAAAAUAGUAUCCAGACGGGUUAUUUGAAAUUAAUGUCUUAGCAUCCACAGAAUUUUCUCAAGUACCCCACAGCUUUCUCUUCACAGACUCGACCACAAUUGCCAUGGUCCCCGCAGCUCUC
rnacentral:lncRNA from 1 species